rnacentral:lncRNA from 1 species
ACAUUUUCCCAAAGUACCUCCAAAAUCUAAGACCAAAAAGGUCCUUGCUUGUUCACAUGAAUAUCCAUCAGCAGACAUCACAUGUCACCAUGGCAAGUGAAGGUACCAGUCAGAAGAAAUUACCAAGAUUUCUUUGCCUUCAUGGAUUUAGAACAAGUGGAGCAAUUUUGAAGAAGCAAAUUUUUGAUAAUUGGCCAGCUCGAGUUGUGGAUAAAUUGGAUCUUGUUUUUGUUGAUGCACCUUUUCCUUGUCAAGGCAAAUCUGAAGUUGAGGGCAUGUUUGAGCCUCCUUAUUUUGAAUGGUACCAAUUCAACAAGGUUGAGUACUAAUUUUUUUUCCUUUUCUUUUCUAUGAAUAACAAUAAAAGAUUGAAUCUUACUGGAUUAUGGCAACAAGGUCACUCUGCCACUUAAAAUGUCUCAUUGCUUAUUUAAGUCGUCUGUAAAGUAUUCUAUCCUUUAUAGAUCACUUAAAAUGUUUUAUUUCUUAUUUAAGUCGUCCGUAAAGGAUUCUAUUCGCCGCUUGAUGGAAAUUAUAGUUCAAGCUGGUCGCCGCAAGUUCUUACCAAAUUAAUUGGAAAAAAAAUAUAUUUUGUUUUGUAACGUUGUUGUUUUGAAAUACAGGAUUUGAAAGUGUAUGAGAAUUUUGAUAAAUGUCUUGAAUACAUAAAAGAAUGUAUGAUUAAACAUGGACCUUUCUAUGGUCUUCUUGGUUUCUCCCAGGUAUGUCUUUAAUUUUCUUCUUUUCAAUUUUUUUUUAAUAUUGUAGUUUUCCUUGAUCUCUUUAGAUGUUUGGAUGUAAAUUUGGUACAAUUUUUUUGGGGGGGUUCUAUUUUCUGCAUUUCUGAAUGACUUUGACAGUCCUAAACUCUUUUUAGUAGUACUUUUCUAUUUUUCUUUUGUUAACAUUUCAAUUUUGUGAUAGCAAGUAUCUUUAUAGGAAAUUUGCACAAUCUGAUUUUGAGUAUCUCUGUCUUUUGGUAAACUUCAGGGAGCAGUUAUUUCUGGAGGAUUGCGUGGGUUGCAGGAUAAGGUAAACACCAAGCAUUAAAAACGUUUCCCCAUAUAGUUGGAUGUGUUUCUUUUUCUGGAUAAAAAUGAAAAUGUUAGAUCGUUCUAACAGAUCGGUAGCGAUAAACAUUCUUCCAUUUCUAAAUAAGUGUACAUUUAUUCUUUUUAUUUUGUUUCUAAAUAAGUGAUACUUUGUCUAAUCAAGAAAAUAUUAAUGUUAUCUUUGCAAUUUUAUCCUUUUUUAAGUAAAGAAAAUUUUACAAAAUCAUAAUUACUAAAGAGUUAAAUUCUUUUCAAGAUCUUAUCAAGGCCAAGUUAGUAAAAUGAGUAGUUUCUUAAGGCGUGUGCUCUUAAACAGAGGAACUAUGUCAAAAUUUGGAUCAUAAUGUAUUUUGUUGUUGGUGCUCAAUUAAACUUGUCCAUCUUGUGAUGGUUAUUUUGGUGUGAUAUUGGCAGGGAGUGGGACUUACAAAGGUGCAAAAAAUAAAAUAUCUGAUAAUUAUUGGAGGUGCUAAAUUUCAAAAUGAAUCAGUGGCAGAGAAAGCUUAUUCAUCACCAAUUACAUGCCCUUCUGUUCACUUUUUAGGUACUUUCUGUUUCUACAAAUUGCCACACACUUUGUACGUCUUAUAGGCUAUAGCUUAACUACACUAAACACCUUGUACUAUGACUUAGUUAUGAAUAAACCCCUUAAAUUUUAAAGUCAAAUACGCACAUCUUCUGUACUAUAAAAAUACUACAUUUACACCCUAAGAUGUAUAUUCCAGCUAUAUAUUAAAAUGUAAUUAUUUAAAGACAAACUAAAAUUAUAAAUAAGAUGCUUUUUCGGUGUUACUUUUAUGAGUUUUUUUUCAAAAAAGUAAAUAAUAAACAAUUUUUUUUUAUGUAAAAGUUACAUAAAUGGUUACAAAUUAUUUAAGAUAUACCAACUAUUAGUAAUACACCAACAUGGGUUGUAGUGUAGUGGUGCGACUAUUCCAUCCUUAAUCAGAGGUCUCGGAUUUUAGUCCUGGGUGUGAAGAAAAUCCUGUUGGGAGUGCCACCCCCAGAAUGGGCUCUGCAGUGCGCGAUCCGAAUUAGUUGGGACUUCAAUGCGGGUACCGGACACCGGUGAAAAACCACACACACUACAAUAAACCAUCAGUAAUACACUUUGCACUCAAGAAUGUGGCCUAGUGGACAAUAAAAUGGAUUGAACAUUAUGUAGUCUCAGGGUGGAGAAAAGGCUGUUGGAGCAACUGAUAAAAUUGCCUCUAUAUGAUCAGGAGGUCACGAGUUCAAGUCUUGAAAGAGUUAUUAAACUAUGUUGCUCAGACUCUUCAAAAAUGUCAUAGGGUGCGUGUCGGAUCCUUCAAAAGUAGUGUAUUUUUAGAGGAUCCGACACGGGUGCGACAACAUUUUUGGAGAGUCCGAGCAACUUAGUUAUUAGAUACCUGUUGUGGUGGGAGGUGGUGAUACCCUAGUGGACAACAUUAUUGGUACUUGUUGCUACGGGAGAAGGAGAAGUGGAGUGUUGGAGUAACUAGUAAAGUUGUCUCUAUGUGACCAGGAGGUCACGAGUUCAACACUUGAAAACAACAUCUGAUAGAAAUGCAAGAUAAAGUUGCAUACAAUAAACUCUUGUGGUCCAAAUUCUUUUCCAAACUAUGUCAUAGCGAGAGCUUUAAUGCACUGGGUUGAUCCUUAGACUUCUAGUGCUUUUCCCAUCAAAGUCCCUACCCUCUUGUGAUCUCUAACCCUUCUAUUCAUGGACCACUCACCAUUCUCACUUUUGUUUGUUACAUGCAUUAGAAAACAAAUUAAAAUAUUUAAAUUUGUAAAUUUAAUUUGUAAUCAUGGACCACACACACUUCAAAACAGUUUAAAGGAAAAGAACGUUUUUAUUCUUCUUCUUAUUGAUUAUGGAUAUUAUAGGUGAGCAAGACUACCUAAAGAAGUACGGGAUGGAGCUCUUGGAUCUAUAUGUUGAUCCAGUGAUAAUUCAUCAUCCUCAGGGUCACACUAUACCAAGACUUGGUCAACCGCUUUAACAUUUUGGGGGAGUUUGGUACGUAGGAAAAUAUUUUCACGAAAAAGAAGCUGGUUUCUCACUUAUUUUCUUAUGUUUAUGUUUGGUUGGUGAGUGAAAAAUAUUUUAUAGUGUUUGAUUGGUAAAAGAAAAAAUAUUUUUCAGAAAAUACAUUUUAGUGUUUAGCGAAAAAAUAGAAAAUACUUUUUAUAAAAAUAAUUUUUGACCUAGAAAAAUACUUUUUUUUUAAGGUGUGUUUAAUAUGAAGGAGGAAAAUAUUAUCAAGAAAAAUAAGUUGUUUCUUACUUAUAUUCUUGUGCUUGUUAUGCAAGCAGGAAAAUGUUUUCUAAAAGUAUUUGUAUAUAUUUAAUAAAAAACAAUGAAAACGAAUAGGAUAAGAAGGACGGAUAAGAAAAAAAAUUUGAAACUUCUUUAAAAAAUUAUUACUACUUUUUUUUUUUUUUGAGGGGGGGAGUGCGCUAGUGUAUGUGUGUAUGGGUGGUGGGGGAGGUCAGAAUAGGUGGUAGGAGUGGGAUAAGAAAAAAACUUUGAAUUUUUUUUUGAAAGAAUUAAAAUAAUAAUUUUUUUUGGNNNNNNNNNNNNNNNNNNNNNNNNNNNNNNNNNNNNNNNNNNNNNNNNNNNNNNNNNNNNNNNNNNNNNNNNNNNNNNNNNNNNNNNNNNNNNNNNNNNNNNNNNNNNNNNNNNNNNNNNNNNNNNNNNNNNNNNNNNNNNNNNNNNNNNNNNNGGGCUGGUAUGGACGGGGAUAAGGAAAGAAAACAAUUUGAAUUUUUUUAAAAAAAAUUAAAUAUUUUUUUUGGAGGGAGCUGGUAGGAGUGGGUAAGGGAUGAGGUAAGAAAAUAAUUUGAAAUAUGUAUAUAUAUAUAUAUAUAUAUUGGAUUGGACGUGGGAAUGGUAGGGGAUUGGGUGUUGGGAUAGGAUUGGGUGUCGGGGUAGGGUUGGGUGAUUUUGAGAGUUGUAUGAAUAUUUCAACUUGAGUGUAAGGUUGAAAGAGAGUUUUGAAAAAUAUUUUCGUUACUUUUUGAAGGGAAGUCAUUUUCCUUAGAUCUAAAGAAAAUAAGUUAAUUUGGAAAUCAUUUUUCAAAAUGUUUAAGUCAACCAAACAUGAGAAAAUUGAAAAAAAAAAAAAAACACACACUCUUUUACUCUCUCCAUCUAUCUUUACUUGUCUACCGUCCUAUUGACACAUGAAUUAAGAAAUAGUAAAUGAUAGGGGUAGUUUCACCAUAUUAUCAUUUGAAUAAAAUAAGUUUAAUACUUUGAAAAGUGCAUUAAAUAAUGAAUUGUAUUUAAUGUUAAGGGUAAAAUGGGUAGAAAUAAAUAAAUUAUCAAUUAAUUUUAUAAAUUGGACAAGUAUUAUUAGACAUUUUAAAAUAAAAAAGUGGACAAAUAAAAAUAAACAUACAAAAGUAAUUAUAUUCUGUGUAGCCCUUGUUCAACAACAAUGACAAAUAUCAUCUUUUUUUUUUUUUUCAGAUGAGAAAGGAUUAGAGAGCAUGCUUAGUUUCAUUGAGAAGGUGCAAGCAGAUUAAUAAGUGAUCAACUUUGAUAAUUUUUUAUUUUAUUUUAUUUUUGCUGUAGCUCCACGUUUUGGAAAUAUUUCUUCCUUUAAUUUUUUAAAAUAAAAUUGCUCCAAAUAAUUAUAUUUUUUGCACUGUAGGGAANNNNNNNNNNNNNNNNNNNGUUACAGAACUAUCAGAGAUUGAAAAAAUUGUAUGGCUCCAAAGUUGACUUUACAGUUUGAGUUAAUUAAAUCACAAUUUAAAAGUUGAGGGCAUUCUCUUCUUCCCAAAUUUCUUUUGUUUUUACUAUAUUCAGUUUACUUGAUUUUGCUAUUUUUAAAAGCAUCAUUUAUUAAAUUUCCAAGACGGACGUCAAAUCAUUUACUUAAUAAAAAUUAAUGCUACUUUGAAUUUUCAAUUUAUAUUACCUAAUAGUUAAUUCUUUCAUUUAUUAAUCAAAUUUUAAAUUAUUUUUCCUGAAUUUCCAACUUUAUUUUUUGUCCUUGACCUUUUCUUGCAAAAACCCUAAUUUCACUAACUCCGUCGAAAAAUUGUGAAAGCAAAAAAAUAAGAUUAGCGUACAUAUUUUCUUUCCAUUUUCAUAAAAUUAGUUUUUUUUUUUUAGUUGUCUACUUGGUUCUGCAGUAGCAAAGUUAGAUUUCCACUGUACUUUGUCAGAUGAUCUUUAUGUAGAUACAACUAAUUCUAACAUUUGCAGAUUUGCUGACUUUGUAUUUCUCUUGGUAUAUAUAGCAUUUGCUGAGUUUGCACUUUUUUGGAUAAAAGAUUGUAUUUUUAUUCUCUCGUUAUAUGGGGUUUUGAGUUCUUGAUUAUUAUUUUUUUCUGUUUUGGGUGCUUAAGUUAUUGGAGUUGUCUUCAGGGGUUAAGGGUGGUUUGAGUUCUCGAAAAAAAAAUCUUCUUUUUGCUGUUUUGGGAGUUAUUUAGAGUUGUUCAGGGUUUAAGGGGUUUUGGUGAUUUAACUAUAGUGUAUAUGAAUGGAGGAGAAAGGAGGAGUUAAUAGUAGCUCUGGGGUUGCAGUUAAAGGGGAUGAAGCUCCUGAAAGCUACAGAGUAGCCCCAAGGAGUGAAAGUAACAAUAUUGAGUUUAGUGGAUCAAUUGUAUCAACCACACCAGUAAGUAGUGUGACAGAGGAAACGCCGAAGAAGAAGAGGGGAAGACCUCGGAAGUAUGGACCAGAUGGUAAAGUAGCUUCCAUUGCAUUGUCACCAAUGCCAAUAUCAGCUUCAAUUCCUCUUGCUGGAGAUUUUUCAGCUUGGGGAAACAGUGGAAAUCGACCCAUUGAUUCCUUCAACAAGAAGAACAAGUUUGAGGCCGAAACUCCAGGUAGCAUUUCCCCAAAGCUGUGUUAUUUUGUAGAAUUUGAAUCGAAUUAUAAAAUGUUUCAGUAUUCAUGCUGUUGAAAUCGUUAUUUGUGAUUAGUAAUGUUUCAGUAUGGAUCUACUUGUGUGGAUAUGUUUGUUCUAUUUCUGUUUGUUUCUGCAUUGUUCAUUGAAGUGAGUUAUUAUAAGUAUUGAACUUAGACUGGGUCCCCCUUAUCAAGAAGGGUCUUGAUUUCCUGGCAUUUAUGAUGAUGAAGAAGAUACUGAGAGGGGAGAACCUUUUUAGUGCAUCUAAAGCUGCUAUUUUCUUGAUGCAUUUAGCCAAAUAGAGUUGGACCACUAAGCUGUGUUGGUAUUUUAAAUUGAUAUGACUGGACACCUCCGUCUUUACCCAAUAAUUGUGAUAUGGGAUAAUAACAAAUAACCAAUUGCAUAUAACGAAGAUGCUGAUUAACUUUUACAAAGACAAGACAUUGAUGGAAUCUGUAAUGAUCUGACCCAUUAAACUCACAUUCUUGGACUAUUAUUCUUUUUACAAGACAAAAAAAUUGCUGAGCUCGAAAUACAGUUUAGUUAGUUAUAGUUGUAGAAGUAAUUAUACAAGCUAAGCAUGUUAUUAGACUCAGCACUCUUGUUCAAGUAAACAGAUGAUGUCAUGUAGAUGGGAGCUGUCACAAAACAUUUUCUAUUUGAAUAUUCAAUCAUUCACUAUUGUACAAGACAUUCUUCUGCUGACGACAGAGAAUUACUGGAUAUUAGUUCGUACAGCAAUCACAUAUGUUUGCAUGGCCCUAUUAAAGGAAUAUUCUUUUACCACCUCCUUGAUUGUUUAUUCUUUUCAAUUUGUACAAGAUUAAAUUUUAUUUUUAACGGCAACUUUUUUUAGAUAUUUUAUUCUCUCAGAGUAAUAAAGGGUUAUCAUCAUUCUGAAACAGUUGAAGAUAUGUCCUGAUGAAUGAAUGCAUGUGAAAACAAAAUUCAGUUCAUUAUCUUGUAUAUCAAAUUUUGGAAAUAGAAAUGCAAAUAUACAUGGACAUUUGGUCAGGAGAUGUAUUUCUGUUGACAUUAUAUCUUUAUAUGUUAUACUGUUAUAUAUAAUCAUGCAAAAAUGAAGCGCCUCAGUGAAUCUAUUAGUAGGUUAUCAAAAAAAUAAAAAAAGUGAAUCCAUUAAUAGACCUGACCAGUGAACCAUUCUGAGACUUAGUAGCUUAUAGUUUUCUCCAAUUUGCCAUUGAAACUGGCUAAACUCAGUGUUCAUGGAAGCGUGAUGCGGAAAAAGGUGAUAAGGCUCCGCAUCAUGCGUUACACGGAGCGUGAAGCGGUACGAGCGCAUCAUUGAAGUGAAGCACACUUUAAAAGGAAAAAAAAUACAAAAAUAGAGCAUCCAAUGUAAGACAGAACUGAAAAUACCACAAAAACUAUAUAAUCAACAAUAAAUACGAUAUAUAUAAGGAGAAGUUUAAAUUAAACACCAAAAUCACAGGUUUGAUCACCGAAAUACCUGCUGCAAAAUAGAUCAGCAAAACAACACAACCACAACAAACCAGAAAAAAAGGAAGAAAAAUCAGAUCUAAAUUAAUAAUGUUUCAACAUCUAAUUCUCGUUCUUCUAAAGCAAUGAAGAAGAAGAAAUUGCAGCAGCCGAUUUCAAAGUUAACCCUAGAAACUCGCAUCAGUGGUAGUUGCAGCAGUACUCUUUUUUAAAAUAAAUUAAAACUUGCCCUAAAUAUGAAAUCAACAUGAAGUGACUCUUUUUUUAAUUUAAAAUUGACCUACAAAUAAAAUCAACUUGAUGCGCUCGCAUUGGCUCGCUUCUCGCAUCGAUUCACAUCUCACAGAACCCUGUGAUGUAAAGAAGAGGGGCUCGCAUCUCUUCGCAUCAUCGCAUAAUGCGAUGAUGUGAGCACAUUCUUGAACACUGGCUAAACUUGUUCUCUUUGUGUUGUGCUUCAAAAUAAUACUCUCUAAUUAUCAUGCUUAUGAAUUUUACUAGUUGGAAGCUGAUAUUAUGUUUAAAAGCUUAACUCUCUGUGUCUUGAAGGUUUAACUUCUUGAGCUAUUACUAAACUUUGUGUUUCCUUAGGGGAGAGGAUGGCAUACUCUGUCAAGGUCUGGAAGACACGAAUUACGGCAGAGGAUUAGGGCUAGUUUGGGUCGCUAGUGUAGGAAAUUACUUGGUGGGGGUUUUAUUCCUGUUAUGAUUCCGUAUUCCGUGUUCCAUGUUUAUUACGAAUCUGUGUGCUUCCCUCUGCUUUCCUCUGUUUUAUAUUCCUUAUGGGUGCCGUAUUUAUGUUAUGUAAUCUGCUUCUGUGCUUUACUAUGUGUUUGUGUGGUAUCUCGUGCCUUGAGCCGGGGGUCUUUCGGAAACAACCUUUCUACUUCAUCAGAGGUAGAGGUAUGGACUGCGUACAUCUUACCCCCCUCCCCCCCCCAGACCCCACUAGGUGGGAAUACACUGGGUUUGUUGUUGUUGUUGUUGUAUAUAUAUAUAAUGUUUCCUGGCUAGUUGUGUUUUAAUGGGAAAAAGGAGGUCAUAUCUCAUUGUUGGAUCAUUUCAUUGGAUUUAAAUGUGUGGGUUGUGGAGAGCAAAUCGAAUGUGACAAUGUAGAAAAAAGAAAGGAAUCAACAAAAUUAUAUCAUGUAAUGGUGAUAUGCAUGGAAGUACUUGGCAUUGGCAAGUAGCAUCCUUCUUUUCUUUGACCACUAACAACCAUAUGAAGCUGUUGGCACUUAGAGAAGGUCUAAAACUGGUAGAAGACCACCAAUUUCUACCUGUGGAAAUCAACCAGGAGGUUAUUUUUAUGUUAUAUAUGGUGAACUUAUAUUAUAAUGCUAUUAUUGAUGAUUGCUGGUCAAGGCUAAGAAGAAUAGAAAGCUCGGUAGUGGAGCAUUUCUUUAGGGAAUAGAAUGGAGUUGUUGAUGCACUAGCAAAGAAAGGAAUCGGUUCUAUGAUCCAGUUAGAGGCAAACAUUUUAGAAGUUCCACGGAUGUGUGCGCAACAGGCAAUCUGGACAGACAUUGUAGGAACUUAUUUUGUUAGGAGAAUUAAGUCUCGUUCAAACAUUUUUGAUGGGGGAAUCCCUAGCUCUUUUGUACUUAAUCCCGACUGACUAUAGUCGACGAAUUCUUAUUUAGUGUUUAUUUAAGUUAAUGCAAACUUUGUUAACCCCCCCCUAUGUGAGUUUUGAAUUGAUUCGCACCUUAAUUAUUUCGUACAAUUUGUAUUUGUAUGUAAAGAAAAGUAUGAUAAACAUUUGAAAAAUUAUUAUAUUUUAAUUCGUAUAAAAUUUUGAAGGGCAGAAGGGAUUUUUUUUUCGUUACUAAUAAUGCACUAAUCUUUCAUUUAAAAUUGAAUGAUAUUCAGAAUUUACGUUUCUUUUGAACUAUUAUUUUUAGCGGAAAUGAGAUUUUUUAUUUUUUUAUAAUUUGAAUAAAAGAAAAUGAUAUUUUCAAAUCUCUUAUGUAUUAAAAUAUAAGAUAUUUUGUGAAAAAACUCAUAAAACUAAACAUUCUUUAAAAGACUAGAAGAUUAUUUGUCUCGAUUUUCUAUCCAAAUAUUAAAAAUAGCAAUUUAUAAAGUUUCUUAAAGUUAGGAGGACUUAGUUGCCAUUUCUCAUAUUAUAGAAGCACUCUUUUGCAAUUAAGCCAAAAAAAAGAAAAAAAAAACAGCUGGGCUGUGCACUAUGGGCUCACUGAUAUUGCUUGCUAUGUUACGACAACAAUAAACCCAGUGUAUUCCCACAAGGGAAAAAGAUAUGGAUUGACCUUUUAUUAAAAAAAGUAUAAAUAAUAUAAAUACCAACCUUUUAAAAGUAAUUACACUCUCUUCCACUUUUUUAAUUACUUUACUCUCUCUCCCUAUUAAUAUACAUAACAUAACCGACAUAUAUAUAACAUUCUGCGUAUAUGUGGAAUUUUUGUAAUAUGUUUAGGGAGUUGAGAUUUUUUGUAAUAUUGAAAACAUAAGUUGUAUUUGUGUAAUUUUUAGUUAAAAUAGUCCAUAAUUGAAAAGGUGGACACUUAGCUAGUCGAUCCAAUUUAAUUCCCACUUUUAGUCAUUUGGCCCAAUUGGAGACAUGCAGUCUCUAUAUUCAAUUGAUACACUUUUAUACCAUAUUAAUACACUUUUAUAUUAUAUUGAUACACUUUUUAAAAAAGAGAAAGGAAAUUCUAUGCAAGUACAUACAGUCCCUAUACCCAAUUGAUACUCUUUUAUACCAUACUGAUACACUUUUAUACUAUAUUGAUACACUUUUAUACUAGAUUGAUACACUUUUAUACCACAUUGAUACAGUAUAUAUACCACAUAAAUACACCUUUUACAGAGAAAAUUUGUGCAAGCAUAUAUAGUAAUUCGUUAUUCGUGAAUUUGUUAACUUCACCUAAAAAUUUGUGAAAAUUUGUGCAAGCAUAUACAAAAUUUAUUAAAUCCUAUACCCAUAAUGUCCAAACUUUCCUUAAUUUUUUAAUUAAAAAGAGAGAGAUAGCAGGAAAAAAAAUAGGUCAAAGUGCCUCUAUAGUGUUAACUCGUAUGAAAAGAGAUAGAACAAUUAUGGGUGGACUUGUAUUUCAUGUUUUUAUUUUCAUGAUCGCAUCUGAAAAAAUAAAUAGGUGGACAGAGUGGACUUUUCUCAAAAUAAAAUAAAAUUAACAACAUUAAAAGAAAAAAAAAUAGUGAAAAACAAAUAAAAAAAAAGAAAGAAAGAGAAUGUAACCUGUAAAAUAAUUGACAUUAAAAAUUAAACAAUAAAUAAAGAAAAGACAAAAAAAAAAAAGGGAUAGUAGCAGCCACAGAAAAGCCUAGAUGGCUAUCUAUUGGAAUUGCCAAAUCAAUGGCUAUAUCAGUGAAAAUAUUUUAGGCGAGCUGACAUUUAUGUCCUUUCCCUUCCCACAAAGUGGGGUCUGGAGAGGAUAAAAUGUAUACGGUCCAGUGAUAUUGCUUGGACUGUUCAAAAAUAUAAAUAUCUCUGUUGAUUUUAUUAUAUUUUGGGAAAGCUGAUACGGGUGGGAUAAAAAGUGAAAAAUGUGGACAAAUUUGGCUUGAUGUACUUUCUAAUUUCCUCUAUUCAAGUGUUUAUUAUGUUUUUUUUUUUUUUUGUGGUGGUGGGGAUGGGAGGAGUGAAGGGGAGUCACGUUUCGAGCAGCGGAACAACUUCUUCCAGAGAUGCAUAGUAACACUGCUUACGAUAGACCUUAUUGGUAUGGUGCUUCUCUAACUCCGCGCAUUGCAGGAGUUUAGUGUAUGGAGUUGUCCUUUGGGGGGAUGGGAGGAGCCCUAACCCUGAUAGCUGGGUCGACCUCGACCCUAAGCUAGAACUCUAGAAGCAAACCCGAGGUCCCGACCCCUACUCUCGAACCUCGCGUCAUAGCCAUCUGCGUAAAGGGUGAACCAAAUAAAAGAUUACAACUAACCUAGACUCAACGCAUAAAAAUUGAUCAAGAAAAUGAGAUUUUUCCCUAAAAAUGCUAAGUACCCUCCCAAGGAUAGGAUACAGACGUCUCCGUACCGAUUCGCAGGACUCUACUAAACGUCGGCUCCAAUAUUAAUAAUACUAGUGUGACCUGCGCUUUGAUACCAAGCUGUCACGACCCGAUAUCUCAAGUUGCGAUGGCGCCUACUUUAACCCACCAGUAGGCAAGCCAAGCUAUAGUCCAGAAUGACAGAUAAUGGGCUAGCAGGCAGAGACCAAAUAAAAGAUCACGUAUAAUGAUAAUAACAACAAUAAUAAAUGAAAACUAAAAAGGGACAUACAUAUUCUAUCAAAAUGAGAGGAGGAAAAAAAGGACCAACUAUACUAAUGAAUCCCUCUCAAAACCUGAUAAGGUCAGUACUAGAGCCACUACUAACAAGUACCCAGAGUACUAGACAAAAAAUCUAAAAUAUACACAAUAUACACAGGCAGUCUCGAGUAUAAAACAAUAACUAGAGUAGAUAGAGGAGGAUCAGUAUCGGACGAUAGUAAGCUCACCCUGCUCUGAAUCAGUACUGAAAGGUAGGAAACUCAGAGUCUUAUGUAUAGAUCAUGUGACUCAAGUUUUUGGCUUCGUUCAAAUUGGAUUGAGUUGUGAAGAGAAAUGUUGUAAUGGACCUCAUUUUAGUUGACCCUAAAGCUAAUGCCUAAUAGAUAUUUGUAAUGAGAACUAAAGGGUUCACUAAUAUACCAAGAUUAAACCUGGAAUAUAAUUUAUAUUGUGUUUGGUCAGGAUAAUUUUAUACCGUCAAUCAAACAUAGUGCGAGUAUAUCCCACCUUAUCACAUUCAUUCAAUUUGAAAUUAAUUUAUGUCAUCUCCCAGAUGGGAUAAAUUAGUCCGGAAUUAUAAUCAUAGGACUAUAUAUAAUACUAGCAUAAUUUAGUCCGCAACGCAAACCAAACGAUAUCUAAGGAUUGACACACAAUUUACUGUAUGUAGGUGUGGAAUCAUGAUGAUUGAAGGUGAUACAUGGAAGGAGAAGUUAUGUAAAUGAACAUCCAAUUUCCUAAAAUCUAUAUGAAAUUCGUGAUCAAGAACGGAAUACAAUAGAUGCAAACAAUCCAUAUAGGCAAUAUGAACUGGUUGGAUUAAUGUGUAGUCAUUAUUCACACAUGCAUUUUUAUUAGAUCGUGUAUUUGAUAAGAAUCUUCUAAGUAUGUUUAGAGGUUGUAUGGAAGUAUAAGGGUACGUGCAAGAUUAGAGAAUCUCUAAUUUGUCAUAGAAACAGAAACAAUUGAAUAGUAGAAUGAAACGUGUCCCAAACCCAAAGGAAUGGAUAUAGAGAAUUCAUAUAUAUGGUGAACCUUGGCUAGUUUGGAGUUGAGGUGUUAUUGUUAUUGUAAUGCUAUUCUUGCCUUUCUAGGUUUUCAGACAAAAGAUUUUCUGAAUAUAUUCCUCUUUAUUAAUUAAUUUUGAGAAUACUCAGAAAAUUAAGCAAAUCCCUGCAAGUUAAUAUCACUUGCUGCCCAUAUUCUUAUGAUAAUAUUUUACUUUUAAGAUAGCAUUAGUUACAAACUCGUAAGUUUUUAACCCUUCCGAUGGCGAAUUACUUCAUAUUUACUAGUUUAUGUGCCAUCAUCAGCUUCCGCUUCUGCACAUGCAUGAUGCUUCUCCUUUAAUUUGAUCUUGCAAUAUCUUAGGUUAACUUAAAAUGGUCUCGUCAAACCAAAAUCUAUAUUAAAGUUAUCUAAUUAUAUUCCAGCUUGACCUACAAUAUAGCUGUCGGAGUUUCGAUUUGCUCACUCACAGUUUCUUUCUCGGAUCCCUAUCACUAAAUUCAAUAAUGGUCCAUAUAUAUGUCUCUUAUGCUUUUAGUGGAUAUGUGAAUGUAGAAUCUAGUACACUAGUACCAUUGAAUUGUGAGCACAACGUUGUGCAACAAUAAGCUUGCCAAUUUUAUUAUACAAUAUAUAUAUAUUAAAUAAUGUUUCUGAUGCUAGUGAAGAUGAGGAAUAUAUAUUAUAAUGUCACUCUUAAAGAUUCUCAUUUAAACAGUAAUAUCCAAGCUACUUCUCGGUGAUGGAUCAGAUGUUAAUCUUGCUACUUGAUGCAAUGUCUUCUAUCACUAGUUCCCAAUUUGUCACACAAUAAAAAUAAUUCAUGCUUUGGCUUAGCUGCUAGACUCUGAAAUUUUAAUUUGAGUUAUAGUUCAUAUUGUCUUGUAGGUCACCAAGCAAGCAUGGAAUUUCAGAGCUAGCAGUUGAGGUGUUGUUGAUAUUGUUGUUUCUUUUUCAAUAACAAGAAGAUAAUAGUUGUACCAAAUGUAAUGAGAAAUCUCCAAAAAUAGAAGUGGUACACAAAAAGUAUAUAGAACUUGUAAAAAACAUGGUUCUCUAUGAAAGACAUGCAACUAUCUAUACUAACUGGAACCUAUAUAUAGGUGUAUCAAAACAAAGGGACAGAAGCCAAACCCUUAUAUAUACAAGCUUUUUUUUGAAGAGGGACAAAGCUAGCAGUUGAAUAAUUGGACAAACGAGUAGUUCAGUCAAUGCAACACAGAAUUGCUUGCUAAAUCAUUAUUCCCUAGGGUUGGAUCUACUUACGAAUUGGCAGUCGACAAAUGUGCAUGUUUCUUGCAUAUCCAAUGAGGUCUCAUGAGGUCUCUUUCCCUCAAAAAGAGACUUCAAAAGCGACCUCAAUUGACGGUCUCUAAAAUAUAGGUAGCUUUUUCUAAGAGACCUCAUGAGGUCGCUUAAAAGCAACCUCACGAGGUCACUAGGUUAUUUCUUGAUUUUUACAAAAAAGAGACCUCGCGAGGUCUCUAAAUUAUUUUUUAUAAUAAUUAUUAUUUUAUUAACAAGAGACCUCACGAGGUCUCUAUUUGAUUUUUUUAUUUUUAUUUUUUAAUUAAAAGACACCUCAUGAGGUGACUAUUAUUUCCUAAUUUUUUAUUCUAUAUAAUUUAUUUAAAACAUAAGUGACGUCUUGCAGUCUCUCAUUUGAGUAUGUAGAAAAUGAAAUCAUGAAAAAGAGACCUCAUUAAGUUGCUUUUGUGCAUUUGUGAAAAAAUAAAAAUGUGAAAUAGCAACCUCAUGAGGUCGCUUUUUUCAAAAAAAAAAAAAAACAGCUUUUACAAAUACCUCUCAUUUUAAUUCAAUAAUAUAAUAUAAUCAAUUAAAUCAAGCUCCAAGAACUCCCACCAAUCAAUCAAACUACAACAAACACAAGUAAAUAUAAUCUAAUAACCACAAAAUGAAAAUAAAAUUUAAAUACCUUGAAAUUGAACGAACUAAACAUAAAAGUCAUAAGUUAACAAUACUAUUGUUCAUACUACUACUUUAAAGUUUUAAUGCAUUCAAAAUCACCUAAGAAUUCAAAUAAACCAUCAUAAAAUAUAUAGUUUAGAUUAUCAAGACAGCAUUCAACUUUAACAACGCGGCGGUGUAUUGUCCACAUAGUAAUCAUCUUCAUCACUGCUGGGCUCCUCAGUCACAUCUCUGUAUUGACCAUAUACUCCAUGUGAAAUAGGUAGAGACUGUGGAGGUCGAGGAGGGCGCACUACAUCACCGGGACAAGGGGGAAUCCCGCCCGAAGCAAGUAAUGCAUCAAAUUGGGCCUUCAUUCCUGCAUACUAUAUAUCUCUUUGCCUUUCCCUAGCCUGCAAGGCCUUAGGUUCGCUAGAUAGCUUAGCUAUUUGCUACUUCAAAGCCAAAAUCGUCUCCCUCGACUCAUCAUCCUGAAAACUACCAAGGCCUUCUAGUUCCGAAUGAAUUUCACGGAAGGUUCGUUGGGGCAAUCCAUAAGCAUAUCCAUACCUACUCGGGCCACCAACCGCAUCUAACCAUAUUCUCUCAUUCUGCUCUUGGCUAAGUGGUAGGUCUCGCUUAUCUUCUGGCAGAGUUUGGCGAAAAUCCUCUAUGCAUUGUAGAUAUCGAUUCUGAAUUUAAUGAUAAUUAUAUUAGAAUAUAAAUUUAGAAAAUAAAGUAAUAACUACUAGAAAUAGAGGCUUACAUUGGUCAGCUGAGCUUGUGGCUCAACCCAUACAUCAGGAUCUUCAGGAUUUUUCUUCUUCCUUGUGUGUGUAGCCUUGAAUGCCUCAACCUGAGUUAUUGGCCUCCCAACUUCUUUUUCCAGCAAAUAAAAUUAAUUUAAUGAUAAAGAAAUAAGUACUCAAAUUUUGGUACAUAUUACAGGUCAGAAACAAGGUUUAGCAUUUUGAAGAAAGUUGUAAUGGGUAAAGAAUCUAUGUGGCUGCAUCAAUCACAAAACUUCCCACAUCAGAUAUGAGCUCUAGCACAGCCAACAGUGAUUUCUCAGACUACUUUUUGGCAUUUUGCCACAAUAAAGAUGUUACGAGAUCAGGAAGCACAACACUUUUACCUAAAUAACUGUAAAUACAAGCAGAAAAACGUAGACCCCAUUUGUAAGAAACAAUUAAAUGCAGGAUCGCAAAAUGCUUAACCUCUUUCCAAUUUGCAUUGUGAUAAAAAAUAUUUUAGAUUGCUAGAUUGGAUAUAUUUAUUGAACCAACUUCUACUUGGCUUAAGAACAUUAAUCUUCUAUUAUAAUUUAUUCGUGUACACACACAAAAAUCAAAAUAUGACCUAAACUAUUGUUGAACAAAAAUAAAUAAACAGCUUUGAAAUGUGCUUCUAGUAAUAGCCAACAAAAUGCAUUUCAAAUAUGAAACAUCAGUGUACAGAAAACGAGAGCACGAACAUCUUUUGAAGAGAUAAAGUAUACAUUUUGAGGGCAAUAAAACCUCCUUAUAUACAUAAGCUAAUGAAUCAGAGUACAAACAUAGGCUAAGAUAAAGUCAAAAUAAAUGUUAUUUGUUUAGUUAAGUAUCGAUAUUUUAUAAGGAUUUAUUUAUUAUGUUAUUUAGUUUGUUCUACAAUAGUACAUCAGACAAUAACACAAACAAAAACAAACAGAAGAAGGCCAAUAAGGAGCAGUAGGUAAGUGUAAUGGAAAAAGGGGCCUAAUAGACCAAUUUUGUUGCAGAAAUGAAAAAUAUAAGUUACUCCCUAUUGAAAACUGGACAACGAUAACAAUUCCAUUGGUACGCCGAUGUUGUGUCAUGUCAAUACCGGUCAACAACAACAUGGGAGAUUUCAUAUAACAUUGAUCUUAUGCCUAAAAUCCUAAAAUUAAGACAUUGACACAACAGAAGGUUUGAGAUACCUGCCUAUUAGAUACAUAGAAGGAUGUCCAGUCCACACCGCAAGGUGAAGAAGCAAUGGAAAGAGUUCCUCAUCGGAAUAUUCUAUGAAAAAAUGGUGAUUCAUAAGAAAGAAUUAAACCAACUAGACUGGGAAGGAAUUGUUCACAAAUUAUAUCAUUGAACAAGCAAACAAACUAGUGUUACCCAAGUGCAGACAUUGUAUAAAAACUAUAGAGAUGAGAUAAAGUAGUUCAUGGAUUUGUUACAAGUUACUGGCUAUGAAUGAAACCGAAAUAACAACAAAGUAACUUGCAAGGAUGAGGUGUUGGAAGAUAUUCACUGGGUAAGUUUUUAAAACAUACUAGUAUUGAUUUGUACUAUGGUUUAAGUUCUUUUACUUUAAUAGAUUUUCUUGUUUGACAGAUCCAUGGUGGUGAGAAGUUGUUUAGAAAUAAAGGACUUUUGCAUUAUAAUCUGUUAAGGGACAUAUUCAGCGGUAAACUUUCUAGUUUUCAUCCGACCGUUUUAGAAUCAAAUGUCCAAACAAAUAAUGUGGCACGUAAAAACUCCUCCAAGGUCAGCAGCUCAAGAAGAGUUUGGAGCUGGUUAUUUGGUUAAGAGAAUGACAAGUAAGAGAAUUGAAGAAUCUAAUUGUCACUCACGUUUCAUUUUACUAUGAACUUUGUCUAUUUACAAUUUAAAGGUAUUAUGUAGAUGCUACUAAUAUAAUCUAUCAUCAUGAAAAUUUGAAUUCCUGCAGUAUUAGGAGCGUUUACUCAUUUUUAUGGUAACCAUUGAAGAACUUCAACCACUUUAGAACUCAUGGUUAAAGCCAGGAAACAGAUGUGCUCUAACGAUACAACAUUCUAACUCUAUUCAACAAUCCAACAGAAAGUUCUCCUAAAAAAGCAAUUCAAAACCUAUUAACCAAAAGAACUAACUAAUAUCAUUGCUUGUCAUUUCCCUCAUAUGUGUUUUCUCCGCAAGCUUAAUCAGGAUAAUAUACAUAUACCAAUAGACCAUAAAAUAUUCACCAAGAGAAUAUAAGUCAAAUUCCAAAACCAACAGCAAGAAUCGAAAAGUAGCAGUUAAGAACCGAUUUUCCAGAAUAAUCGGUUGUCCGAGGAUAAGGUAUCACUAAUCAGUCACAAUUCAAUAAAAAAUACCAUAUCACAUGAAUGACCUACCAGUUUUCUCCUUACAUUUUCCUAACUCUGAGUUCCACUCGUAUGUAAAUAUUCACACUUAAGAGAUGCUCUAGCUUUCUUGCCAAUCUCACGCAUCUGCUUGAACCUCAUAUCUGUCUCCCAAUGGUCAACUAACUUUUGUCAAUUUUUAGGUAGAAUCCACCUGGGCCUCUUGUUUUUUCAUGAUCUUUUGAUAGAAAGUCAUUAAGUAUGCGCCGAGUUUUUAACUUAAAGUUUGCUUUAAUCUGGGCUUUAUGUUCUGGACGCCAAAAACACUUUCUCUGUAAUGACAAGAUAAACUAAGAUGAAUUAAUUUGCUAAUGAAAAAAUUUCUCUAUAAUGACAAGAUAAACUGAAAUAAAUUACCCCUACCUCAGUGACAUAGAGAUAUUUUUCCCAAUAGACCCUCGAAUUAAAUAAAGCAAGUACAAAUUAAUUCAAACUUAUGAAAAACAUAAUUGGUUCACCCCAUCAUGCGAUUACUAUAUCACAUGAACUUUUUUGAUAAAUCAGUAAGGAAAAGAAGAGCAUAGAAAUGAAUAUACCCUAAAUUCCAAAAGAAUUUGGUUCCUGAGAUUAUCUGGCAUCUUGCCCCAACUCGUGACAGCACCCCUAUAAAGAUCUUGAAUGAUUUGAGAAAGGAUCCUUACAGUAGCAUCCGAAUUAAAACUGUAUUCCAAAAUUUAAACAUUUAUAAGUUAAAGCUAAAACAAUUAUGAGAUAUUCAUAAACUAAAUACAUUUUGUAAAAACCAUACCCAUAGCUGUCAGGCUCUAUGAUGAGUCUGUUGCGCAUAUCCCUCAUGCCAGCUUGUGGAUGAACCUGACCAUGUAUAAUAGACUGGUCUAUGGUAGGAAUUUCAAGUUCAGAGAUAUUACCUUGAAGUGGAAGACUUGAUAUCCCAAUCUAUGGAGUAGAUACUGAUGAAGGUUGUAAGUUACCGGGGUUAAGAGUAACUGUAUGUGAGACACUAAAUAUUUGUUGCUGCAUCACUCGAGGUAAUUGACUAUAUGCAUGUAAGGUAGCAUGAACUAAAGUGGGCCUCAUCGUAUGCAUAUGUGGGGGCUUUUAAGUAUAUGCUAGUGGUGCACCUCGUGCGGAUGAGAUGGUGUGGUGUCUGAUCUUAUAUGUAUACUUGUCGAUCGCCUGUUAAUCAUAUUAGCCUUCUUUAGUUUCUUUUUGGGAGCAUUAGCAGUACCCUUAUCCUUAUCGCCGCCUGCCAUCUACAUAAAUUUUCAUAUAAUAUCUUAAAGUAAACCAUAGUUUAGAGACACCAUAAAUGUACAUAUUUUGACCAUAUAACUGUAUGCAAGAAAAACAAAACCUAUGACAUACGUAUGGUGUAACACAUGUAACAUCAAUGAAAGAAAUUAACAAACCUGAACAACUACCAAUGCGCAGUCAGACGUAGAGACACCAAUAUAUUUUGAGAAACAUACCAAUCAGAGAUUAAAGCAGCAAGCACUUCAAGAACACCAAACAAAACUUUUAAAUAAGAAUAACAUUAAAUCAAACCAAUAAUUCUCAGCUAAAAAUAGAAAUAGUGUUAACAAAAACUACAUUGAUCAAAUUAGUGAAAAAAAAAGAAUAAACUAAACCAAACAAAGAAACAAAAAAAUGCAGAUAUGUUAUUUCAAAUUAUCAUUCCUUCUCGUCGCCAUCCUUCUCUUCUAACUCUUCUUCUUCUUCUGACCAUUCUUCCUCUUCUAACCAUUCUUCCUUUUCUGACCCUCUUUUCUCUUCUAACCAAUUUUCCUUAUCUACUGUUACAUUUUCAUCAUUUGAUUCAUCCACCUCUUUAUUUGCUGGGAAUUCUACUUCUUCUAUAUUAAUCUCUUCCAAUAUGUGUUCAGGAUGCUCUAAAUUAUCUUCUAAGUCAACACCAACUGGUUGGUGAACACAUGAUAUGUCAUCAGCUUGGUAUACAACAUCUAAUACAUUUUCAACUUCUACUCGACCCACAACUUGAUUUUGAUUACAGCUCACCAAUUCGAUUUAUCUGGAUGCAAGGGAUAAGGAGCAUAAUACACUUGCUUAGCAUUAUGUGUAAUGAUGAAAGGAUUGUAUGCCCCAUACUCCUUUGUGUUCCUUACUUCGAUGAUAUUAUACUGUUUGAUUUCCCUCGUUUCUCUAUUUGGGGUAGGGUCAAACCAUUUGCAUCUGAACAAUACAAUUCUUUUUUCUGGCCAACCAGAAUACUCUAUUUCUAAAAUCUCCUUAAGUAACCCAUAAUAAUCAACACCAUUUUGAUCUCCAUCAUCACCUUUUACCCAAACUCCGCUAUUAUUAGUUUUUUUAUGUUUGGAGCAUUCUUCGGUAUUGAAUUUAAAAUCAUUCACUGUAUACUUUUUCAUAGAAUAGACCUUAAUGGGUCCCCAAGAUAAAUCCUUCAAAAAUUGGUCAAAUUGGCCAUUUCUUGUAUCAUAAACCUAAAAAUAUUCAAGAGUAGAAAAUUAACAUUAAUCAAACGUGGACUUUUUAAUAAUUAUAGCAUUAUGAAAAAAUUACAACCCUCACAUAAUCUUUAAACCAUGUUGAAAAAUAGUCAAACACUUUAUCAUUGCCAUACAACUGCAAAAAGUAGCCGUCAAAGAGGAUGGAAAUUAAUUCAGUUGCUUUGUCUUGUAAUUGCAUAUGUAAUUCAAAAUAAUAACAACUUACUCAAGAAAUGGUUUAACUUGAGGGCAGUUCAACAAGACCUGUAUUGAUGCAGACUUAAACUCCAUUGAACUAAGAUGCCUCUUUGUACGCUUUUUUGAACCUUUGCCAGGUUGAUUGAAGAUUGAUAACGACUCUCUAGUAACCUCACCACCAUCGUCGUGAUGAUUGGGCCAAUUUUGUAAACAUGGAACAUCACUUGCAAAGAAAUACGAACAGAAAUCGAUCAUUUCCUUAGCAAGAUAGGCUUUAACAUUGAGCCUUCAAUUCUAUGUUGUUGCUUGAUACUCCGUUUAUUCUUGCCAAUAGUCUUAUAUAAUAUUAUAUUAUGAAAAUUUUUAAAAAAGCAUUAAUGGAGAGGGAUAUAUUAAGAUUUACAAUUGUUACCUCUCAAAUGGAUACAUCUAUCGAUAUUGAACCGGACCUCCAAGACGAGCUUCAUGCACAAGAUGCACAGGAAGAUGUUCCAUCACAUCCCAAAAUUCAGGUGAAAGAAUCUUCUCUAGCUUAUUUGUAAUUACAGGAAUAUUUCAUUCCAUCCGAACUAGGUUCUCUUCCAUCAAUGUGCUGGAACACAAGUCUUUGAAAAACAAACUAAUUUCAGUCAUAGGUUUCCAUAUUCUUUCAGGCAAGCUACUAAAUGCUCUGGGGAGUAAUGUUUCCAUGAAAACAUAACAAUCAUGACUUUUCAUGCCAAAUAACUUUUCGAGCUCCAUAUCAACAUGCUUCCCCAAAUUUGAAGCAUGACCAGUAGGCAUUUUCAACUGCUCAACCCAUUCACAUAUCUUACAUUUUUGCUCCAUUGUAAAUGAAUAGCUAGCCUUAGGCUUAAAGACCUUUUUAUUUGAUUUCUCCUGCAGCCAUAACUCUUUUCGCCUACAAUAAUCUGGUAAGUCCAUUCCAGCUUUAACAUUGUCUUUUGUCUUGCCAUUGACAUCUAUUACUGUGUUAAAUAAAUUAUCAAAGUAAUUUUUUUCCAGUAUGUAUGGGAUCAAGAUUAUGUCGAAGAAGAUGAUCCUUCCAAUAUGAUAAUUCCCAAAAUAUACUCUGUUUUAUCCAAUUAUAUGGAACACCAUACCCAUCAAAUUUGUACGGUUGUUCUUCUGUAACCUUUGGAAAGUGUUGAACCCUCUCCCAAACUUGUUCUCCCGUAUAGAUUGGAGGUGGACUAUCUAGAUCAACCAUAUUCUUUCUAAAUGCAUUUUUCAUAUUCCUAAACUCAUGAUUCAUGGGCAAAAAUCGACGGUAACAAUCAAACCAAUAAUUUUUUCGACCAUGUUUCAAAGUGAAUGAUUUACUAUUUUCCAUACACUAAAGACAGGCUAACUUGCCAGCUGUCAUCCACCCGAACAACAUUCCGUAAGCAGAAAAAUCACUAAUAGUCCACAUUAAGACAACACACAAAUUAAAAUUUUGCUUAAGUGACACAUCAAAUGUUUCAACCCCUUCAAUCCAUAAUUUAUUCAACUCAUCAAUCAAAGGUUGCAAGUAUACAUCAAUCAUGAUUUUUGGAUUACUCGGGCCGGGAAUAAUACAAUUGAGAAAUAUAUAAGGACUGGUCAUGCACAUCUCAGGUGGAAGAUUAUAUGGUGUUAAAUAUACAGGCCAACAAGAAUAUGGUGUAGCAGAAAUAGAGUAUGGAGUGAAUCCAUCCGAACAUAAACCUAACCUAAUGUUCUACGGUUCAGCUGCAAACUCUGGAUAUUUUCUAUCAAAAUGCUUCCAGUCCUCUCCAUUAGAUGGAUGACACAUAACACCAGGCGGUCUUCUAUUCUCAUGAUGCCAUCUCAUGUGGGGAGCUGACCUAUUUGAUGCAUAUAACCUCUUUAUCCUUGGUAUAAGAGGUAAGUAAUGCAUCGCCUUCACAGCAACUUUCUUUCCGCUAGGAGCUUUUUUAAAACGAGCUCUUUGACAAAACUUACAAGAUUCUAGAUCAAUGUCAUCCUUGUAGUAUAAUAUGCAGCCAUUUUCACAACAAUCGAUUCUCAUCGACGACAAUCCUAACUUUGACACCAAACUCUUUGCCUUGUAGAAAUUAUCAGUUAUCUUUAGAUUCGGGUCAACUAAUUCAUGCAUAAGGUCAAUCACAACGUCCAUUACCCUUUGAGAAACAUUCCAAUCCAAUUUGAUACUUUAUAACCUAACAACAAUAGACAAUUGAGAGUGUGAACUCCCCUCGUACAGAGGCCGGCUAAAAGCUUCUAGCUGUUCAAAGAAACAUUUCGAUUCAUCAUUGGGAGCUUCUUCAACACGAUCACCAGAUUCAAAAUCAGAAUGCAUCCCAUAUGUAUCUCAAAUCAUGUCUUGCAUUCUAUAAUUUUGGACAUCAGGUUCCACUGCCCCACAACUUCCACCAGCAACAUAGUGUUGAGAUCUGAAAAAACUAUUAUCAACUUCUCCAUGACAAGUCCAUACUGUAUAAUCUUUUUUAAACCCAUUUCGAUAGAGAUGAAGCUUAACAAUAUCAGGUUGUUCAUAAUUCCUACAUUUACAUUUACUACAAGGACACUUAACCAACAAGCCAUCAAGUUGAAAAGGUUCCAGUGUCAUUGCAUAAUCCACAAAACCAUCGACAUCGGAUAUAAAUUCAGGCAUCAACCCCAUACGACCAACAUUAGUCAUAUUAUACAUCCAACUAUGAUCCAUCUAUACAAAAUCACAUAAUUAAAAUUGUUAAACUCUAAAUUAAGAAAGAAAACUUUAUAACAAAUCGAGAAUUUGCAUAAGUAAAUGUAACGAGCUCAUUAAAAGCAAAGAACUUGUUUUACGUGUCAAUGUAGGACUUUAGGUCAGUUAAGAGAAAACAAAAACAAGCCAAACAAGAACUUCAAGAAAAUCACUCAAAACAAGAACUUCAAAACAAGCCAUGUAUGACACUAGCUUUGGUCAAAACUCUACAUUUAUUUUAAAAAUCAGUUGAAUAUGCAUACUAUGAUUUCUAAUAAAGUCGAAGCAUAAACCCAAUUUUGAAAUAAGGCAACAAAAUCCCUAUUAUUAAUUUACAUUUUGGGGAAAAUAACAACAACAACAACAAAUCCAAUUUAUUUUCACACGGUGGGAUUUGGGAGGGUAAAAUGUAUGCAGUCCAUACCACUACCUCCAGAGAGGUAGAAAUGUUGUUUUCGAUUGACACCCGGCACAAGAUAUAUACACAUAUGCAAAUAACACGAAAACAUAAAGCAAAUUUUGACAAAACUGAAUUAAUGACAGUAUACCUUCUGUUCUGAAACCAAACUUUGAUCUGCUUAGGCUCGAUAUUAGACAAAAUUGGACAUUCACGGAUCAAUUGUUGUCGACACAACGAACUAGGCUUAGGACACUCAGCAUAAACCCUCUCCAAAGCCUCAACUUGCUCAGUUGUGUAUCUAACAUACUUUCCACUACUAUCAAGAUGUUUUGUAAUACUACCACUACUACUCUCCCUAUGCUGCUAUGCCACCAUAGCCAUUUUUUCCCUCAAACCCCAGAACAAAAUUCAAGAUUUUUCAAACACCUUUUGAUUAAAUAAACAACCCCAAGUAGAUAUAUUCCCUGAAACUGUUUUCUAAGAAGCUUUAUAUAUAUAUAUAUUUUCUAAGCAGCUUUAUAUAUAUAUAUAUAUGUAUAGAGAUAACACUACACAGAGAACUAAGAUUCUCUUAAACAAAGGAUUUUUUUUUUCUUUUUUUUCUUUUCCUAGUGAUCUCACACUAGAUUAAAUGGACUAUCAUGAUUGAACUAAAAGAUUCCUUGGUGUGAUUCUUGAUUUUCACUAUAUUUUUUAUGCAACCCAAGAGAAUAAAAAGGUUCCAAACAAGAAUUAAACACACACGCACACAGAGGAAACAAAAAAAAAUACAAACACACAAUUGGUGUGAUUCUUGAUUUUCACUUUAACUUUUAUGCUCCCAAGAGAAGAAAAAGGUUCAAAACAAGAACCAAACACACACAUCAAGACAGUAAAAAAAAAAACACAAAUUCUAUUCUAUAGAUAAAUAAGAAAAAAAUUACAACCUUACUUUGAAUGAGAGAGUUGGGAGAGAGAGAAUGCAAAAAAUCACCUUUGAGAUCUUUGGAUUUGCAGAAGAUAAUUUUUGAGAGAGUGAUUCUGAAAGAGGGGCUACUUUGAGGGAGCUUACCUUAUGGGUUUUAUUUUCUUAUUAUAUUAAUUAUAAUGAUAAACAUUUAAGAAAUUAAGUAAAUAUAUAUAUUGACGUUAAUGCUUAAUAAAAUGGUCACAUAUAAUUAUUUUUAAUACUAGAUAUUAGUUUUUAAUAAUAAAUAUUAAUUUACUAAAACUGUAGAGACCUCAUGAGGUCGGAAUGUAUAAAAUUUUACUACCCACUUUAUUUUAUUUUGGCGCUAACUUUUUCCGCAUUUUUUUGAUCUUUUGGUGUUCCUAAUAUUGUGUUGCUAAAUUUUUUUUAUCAUUUACCGACCUCUUGAGGCCUCUUAACAGAAAAAAAUAAAAAAUAAAAGUUGAGGAGAUAAGUGACCUCAUGAGGUCUCUUAUUUUCGACUUAUUUUUGAGGUCUCUUUUUUUUGGGUCUCUUUUUAGAGCUUUUUUAGUAGUGAUUUCUGCUGCAUUAAAUUCCUACAAAUUAAACUAGGCUUUCAUCAGUUAUUUUUGUUACAGUGAAUACUUCAUGCACAACCUGCAAUCCGAUCUAUUGGCAGCUUAACUGUUUUAUACUAUAAUCUUUAGGGCAUUUGCUCUUUGUCCUUAGUUUUCCAUAUGAUGCAUGUUAUUCUGAACACAUGUAGUAGAAAACCUUUUGGCUCAUAUUGUGCUUGACGAGCAAUUUUUGUGUCUAUAUUUACCCAUUUUGUUCGAUGAUCUUUCAGCAACCUAAAUUGUCUAAUUGAUAUCCAGUGCCAUUAAUAGGAUUGGGCUGGUUUGUUUAGGAAAAACUCUUCCAUACGGAUAAUUUCACUUCGUAAAUAUUGAAAUUAGAGAUUAAUUAUCAUAAGAUUGUAUAUUUUAGUUUGUUAAUGAUUAGUUAGUUUGUUAGUAAUUAGUUAGUUAGUUAGAUUAAUAGUGAUGUUCAGCUGUCAAGCAAGUUGCCACUUGUAUAUAUAUUGUACUCUAAAAAGGAGUAAAAGCAGUUUUCAUUUUCUCCUUUUAACUGUUUGUUGUUUCUCUUCAAUGGAGAGUAUUCUCCUUUUAUCACACUACAAAAAAUGAAUAAAACUGCAGGGGUUUAUUUGCGGGGGUUAUUUUAACCCCUGUAAAAAUAUGUGAAAUACGAGAGUUAAAAAACUACUGCUAAAGUUUAUACAUUUAUGGGGGUUUUAAAUCCCAUCUAUCAAUUGCACGGGUUUUAAAUCCCCGCAAGUCAAAAUAAAUUCUAUGCUUGCCGCUUAUGCCAAAAUAUUCCCCCCUCCCUCUCUUUAAUUGAAAGCUCUCCCUCAUUUUUUCCCCAAAUCAUACUCUUUUUCUCAUUCUCCCCCCCCCCCCAAAAAAAUCUACCGGCCUCUCUCUCAUCUUCCCCCAAAUUAACUCCAGUCGACCGACCAUUGCAUAUUGAGCUGGACUCCGAGACUGGUGUUAUAAUUGACAGAUUAAUGUAAUUCCUGAAAGGAACAGUUGUGUCAAAAUAGAUUAAUGGAUUUAUGUUCAGGGUUUUCUCUUCUCUUUCCAUUUUUGUAUAGUAUUCAUGCUUUGUAUAUUUCCAUGUCGUUGAGGGUUUUAAAAACAGUGAAAUAUAAGAAGCUCUGUUAAUGGUGAGGGGCUGGAUUUCUUAGAAGUUGAUUGUCUUUAUUUUAGGAUUUGAGGAUUAUUUCAUUUUGUAACUAGUGGAAUUUGUGAGAAUUAUAGAAUAUUCAAGUGAGAUGAAAAGACAUGACCUUUUAAAUUUUUCAAUUUUGUUCUUACAGUUGACGUGGAUUAACUCUCAUCUUGAAAAGAUCUGGCCAUACGUGGAUGAGGUUAGAUUCUGUAAUUUUUUGUUUUCCCCCUUUUCUUGUCUAAUUUCUAGUUCUUGGGACUUCUUUGUUGCUAAUUGAGUCGGUGUGGGUUUAUGGUAAUUCAGGUAGCAUCAGAACUAGAAAAAGGCAAGUGUGGAGCCAAUUUUGGAACAAUAUAGGCCUGUGAUUUUUGCGUCGUUGAAAUUCUCAAAGUUCACUCUAGGUACAGUUGCUCCAUAAUUCACAGGUUAGAUGAUGGCUGUCAUAACGUGCCUCUAUUGUCUUAAUUUGUUCCAGUGUUUUGGCGUUAUUUAUUUCUAUGUGUAUAUUUAUGUAUGGUCAAGUAAUCACUUAUUGUUAUAUGAUGAAUAAAUAGACCUGGGGCUUAACUCAACUCCAAAAGUUAGAUCAUGAGAUGAGCAUUACCCAAUACCAUAGAAGGAGAUCAAAGGACCACACACCCGCCAAUAUCAGUCAUCAGAUAUCGAAUACUUAUUGCAAGCUCAGACCUUAACUGGAGCAUGAACAACAUAAUAUAGGACCCAUUAUCAGGUGAAAUAAUGAACCGAAAUGAGCCUUGCUAGGAUACGUAUAAGAUAUGGACCUUGAAUGUAACUCAACACCAAAAGCUAGCUCAUUAGGAGAGAAUUUCCCAAGUUCAUAUAAGGAGUCAACUAUCACAUUCCCCACUCUAAUAACAUUAAAAAUUUAUCCUUAAUCGUCAUGCGAGUGAUGUGGUUUGUUUUGAAAAGUUUAGGGGAUUGAUUAACUGAUAUACUAGCAGCGUUUUAGUUUGGACGCGCUAGUCACUGUUGUACUCUGUCAAAAUGUGACAUAAUUUGAGACCACUAGGGGUUUAAAGGACAUCAAAACCUAAUAGAGCUACUGUGGUGACCUGGCCUCUGGUGUCAGUUUAUCCUUAGUAAAAGAAACUACUUGUGUAGAUGAAUCACAUAAUAUUAACACUUGCUUUAUUUUAUAUAUAUGUUCUGUUGCAGGGAUUUUUAUUAUUGAAUAUGGAAGUGAGGGUAUUUCCAUGGAAUUAGAGAUGCAAUGGGAUGGAAACCCAAGCAUAAUACUCAACAUCAAGACUUACCUUGGUGUAGCAUUACCAGUGCAGGUAAUUUAUUUCAGGUCUGUGUUACUCAGACUCUCCAAAAAUGUUGCCGCACUUGUGUCGGAUUCUCCAAAAUUCCACUAGUCUUGGAGUAUAUGUCAUAUACCUGUCAACAUUUUUGAAGAGUCCUAGCAAUGUAGUUUUACCUCAGAGCUGUGCCACGUACUUUAACUGCUUCAUAUGAUAUGGUCCUAAUUUCUGCUGAGAUGUAAAGUUUGUUGUUAUCUGUGUGAAUACUCCAAUUUAAGGAUGCACUGGCAUUAUUUGAUGUCCUCAAGCUUGCAUUUAUUGUUUCUGAAAGAGCUUGUGCUUAUUGAAUUAUGCUUUCUAUAAUAGCUUGUUGAAGAGGGGAACAAACAACUGUUUCAGUUUAACUAGUCUGUAUUCGUGCCUUUUACUUCCAAGUUAUCCCAUAUGAUUUGCAUGGACAUGCUUGUGCUUAUGUGUUUUUCUUGGGCCGACCGCAAAAUGAGAAGUUAAUGUCAUUAUAUUCCCUGCGAUACGUCCUUGAUAGUAAUCUAAAAGAGUUGCAUGCUUAAGAGUGAAAAAAUGAAAAAGCUAGUAAUAUAUACAUCUUACUGUUUUGCUUCGUUUUCAUUUUUGUAAAAAUUCUUUUUUCUUUUUCCAAAGUAUCAAGUAACUUCAUGAAAGCUUGACCCUUUGGUUCGAUGUCGACCUUCUCUUUGUAUCGUUGGAACUGCAUAGUUUACUUUUAGUAUGCUAUCAUCAUCUCCACUGAUACUAUAUUUAAGAAACCAAACUCGAACUUCAUCUUGCGGCCCAAACUUGUGAAAACUCGGCCUACUUAUGCUUGCUUGAUCUCUGCAUUUACCAACUAAAGUGAAUCCCGGUAUUGAGAUAAUGCUAAGAGUUUGGGGCUUUGCCCUCGGCUAGAAUUUUGGUUUCUCGUUGCUGCAUAUGACAUAUCUAGUGAAUUGUUGGAUGCUAAUAACAUUCCAGAUACUUGUUAGUACGAUUAUCAUGUCAAAAACUACAAUGGCUAAAAUGAUGAUUCCCUUCAUCUUUACUUUGUUUUCUUGUAAGUGAGGCUAAUGGUUUAGUUUUCUUUCAAUAAUUGAUUUGUUUUUGCACUUGUCGAUGGACUACUAGUGACUUAAGAGGGUAUAUAUUGGUAUAUGAGAAGUGUUAAGAAAAGUAAGUUGUUGUAUGCUUUAGUAAGUUCUAUGGCAGUAGUGCCAAUGUGUUCCACCCCUGGCUUAAAAUUGGGAUUAUCAUGCACCAUCUUGUUACUAUGUAUUGAUAAAACGUUAUCUUUUUUUAUUAAUAAAAUCUACCUUGUAAAAAAAAGGGCUCUGUCAUCAAAUUUUUCUGGCAGCACCGCAGCAGCAUGUUAUCCCCUUUGAACUCUUUUUUUUUGUUGUUGUAAUUUUUCUCUCCUCAUUUUGCUACUUUGUUUCUCUUGCUGUCUUCUAUUGAUCUGAAAAUAAUUAUUUCAACCAUUUCAGUAUGUUGACCAUUCAGUUACUCUCAAAGCUUGUGCUGGUCUUAAUGGUAUGAAAUUGGGUGGAGAAGUGAACUAUUGUUCGGACUUUACUGGUACAAUCUAAAGUCCUCUUAUCUAUAUUACUUUGGCUUUAGUACAAUUUUUAAUCUUUUCUUGGAAAUAUGAGUUUGACAAAAAGAUACACAUAAUACUCAGGACAAAGAUAAAAAUACACCUUUAUACCAGAUUCCCCAGCAUACAAAGCCACUUUUGGAGAAGCACACGAAAUUUCUCAAGUUGAAUGUCUUUAUUAUCUUGGUGACGUUAAGUUUAUUGUCCACAAAAUAAAUACUGUGUUUUAUGCCAGUAAAAAAUGUAGAUGCUAGUGGAAAUUGUAGAGAAUUUCUAAAUAAAUACUUUCAUGCUCACAAGUCAAAUAUUAACUAUUAAAUCUCAAAUGAUGUGACCCAAAUACAACUGCUUUGAAUCAAUUUUACAUAUGAGCCGAAAAUCGAGUUUAAUACUUUGCAUUUUUAUGUAGCCAAGUGAUGCAGCUAGUGGACUCAUUUCGCCCAUGGAUUCAAGGAGACCAUGUGAUGAUAGUGAUCCUAAUGAAAGUCAUUGAUUUCGUUGCAAAUUAUCUUGGAUAUUCAAUUAUGAUGAUGUAAUUGUGUGGUUGGAGUGAAUCUUAUAAUAUUGAAGGUUUUGUGUUUAAUUUAAUUUUGGAGUUUGAAGUUACUAGUUAAUGUUGAAAAUUUGGAGUUUGAAGAUGCUAAUGUUGAAAAUUUAAUUUUGAAGUUUAAUGUUCAAAGUAUUUUUGAUGUGCUGGUCAAUUACAAUAUUUAAUUAGUCAUGUGUUAAUGAUAUAUGAAUUGAAUAAAUAUUGAAUUGUAGGUUAUGCUUAAAGGAACAACUAAAUUUGAGCUAAAAUUAUAAUUUAUUAUUUGUUAUUGAAAAUUAAUGGGUCCAAGUAAAUUAAAAAAUAAUAAUAAGAAAUAAAAAUUGCGGAGGUUUUAAACUGCCGCAAAAUAACCCCCGCAAAUUAAUUGUGGGGGUCAGAAAAAAACUUCUGCAACUCAUUUGUGAUGGCUCAUAUUCUGGGGGUUUUGGGAACCCCCGCAAACCGCAAAUUUAACCCCCGCAAUUUGAGCCCUUUUUGUAGGGUCAAUGGUGCAUGUUUGUCAACGUGUUUCUCAAUAUGGUAUUAGACCAGAUUGAUUGGUUAACACCUCGAUGAUUGCAGCUUUUUUUCUCUGAUCGUUGUUGUAGAGAGCCUUUCUCCUCUUUUGUAUUCGUGGUUUUUUAAGUUUUGAGGUUUUUUUUUUUAUUUUUAAUUUGUACAGACAAAAGGUUGCCGGUUGUUGAUCGAAUUUCGAUUUCAUUUUUUCGUUGGUUAAAUUCACUAAAGUUAGCUUGAAUUGAGCUCCACUUUAGUUAAAUUGAAUUUGCAUAUCGAUGGCGGUUACUACGAAUGUUGUUAAUGGUGAAGAAACCUCCACAUCUACUCCGUCUGCUCCAAAUCUGGAGGCGAGUGAUGCUUUGUACAUACAUCCUUCAGAUAGUCCAGGGAUGAUGCUAGUUACGGCAUAAUUUGAUGGAUUGGGGUAUAGAUCCUGGAGAAGAGGUGUGUUGCGUGCUCUAUCUAUGAAGAACAAAUUAGGGUUCAUAGAUGGGAGCUGUAAGAAAGUAGAUGCAAAUUCAUCUCACAUUCGUCAAUGGAAAAGAUGCAAUGACAUGGUAACUUCUUAGAUUCUGAAUUCAUUGUUGAAAGAUAUAUCGGAUAGUGUGGAAUAUGUUUGUGACUCAGUGAAACUCUGGAGAGAAUUAGAAGAUAGAUACGAUCAAACCAAUGGGGCCAAGCUUUAUCAAAUCCAGAAAGAGAUUAAUGAUCUUACUCAAGGAUCAUUGGAUAUAACUACCUAUUACACUAAGAUGAAGAAAUUGUGGGAAGAAUUGAAUACUCUCAGUACCAAGGAUCAGUGCAGUUGCGUAUGUGAGUGUGGAGCAAAGAAAGUGUUACAUAAGGCAGAGCAAGACAGGAGACUAAUCCAAUUCCUUAUAGGAUUGAAUGAAGUGUAUACUGUAGUAAGGGGAAACAUCCUCAUGAUGAAUCCCUUAUCAUCUAUAGUGCAAUCCUUCUCUUUGUUAAUACAAGAAGAAAAGCAAAGAGAACUUUGACCUACUGGUCAGCUGAUGAUCGAGUCCACUUCUCUUAAUACCAAUGCUUAUUACAGUAGGAAUUCCAUGGGAAGAGGUCUUAAGACAAAUUUUUCAGCUAAGAGCUCCUCAGGAAAAAACUAUGGCGGAGGUCCUUUGAGGCCAAACUUGUAUUCGGGAAGUGGUAGAACUACAAUCAUGUGUGAUUACUGCAAAAGACUAGGACACACAAAGGAAAAAUGUUAUAAACUACAUGGAUAUCCAACUUCAAUGAGAAACCAAAGCAAUGACCAGAUUUCCAGACAAAGUGUGCCUAAUAGUAACCAAUACAAUGUUGGAUCUCAAAAUUAUAGACAGAACAACAACUACAGAGGUAAGGGACUCAUUGCUAAUAUUCAUGGAUCACCAGAUGAUGUAUCCACGGGAUCAGGAGAGGACCAGGUCAAUAACAGCAUUACAAAGGAACAGCUUGGACAACUAAUGACUCUCAUACAACAAUUCCAGAAUAGGUAUAUAGGAGAAGGUUUCAAUACUAGUGCAAAUCUGGUUUCAAGUUCUAGUAGCCUUACAGGUAUUGUGGUUUGCUCAUCCUCUAUUGAUUUUGACCAUCUUAUAUGCAAAUGUUUUAAAACAAGUAAUGACUUAUGGAUUAUCGACUCAAGAGCAUCUAACAAUGUGACCUUCAAUAUCAGAACCUUACCAUAUCUCAUUUUAGUGUCUCUUCCCAAUGGAUAUAGAGUUAAGGUGUCAGAAUUUGGUGAUGUAAGAAUUUCACCCAUGAUCACAUUACACAAGGUGUUAUAUGUUCCUUCAUUCAAAUAAAACUUAGCUUUUGUUCACUCUCUGUCUUCUUCCCUAAAAUCUAUAGUUUUGUUCACUGAUACAUCAUGUAUACUGCAGGCCCCUUCAGUAAAGAGGCCUCAGGUGAUUGGUAAUUACAGAAAUGGCCUAUACUAUCUCUGUUCAAGGUGCUUGAACAUCACUGAGUCUACUGCAAACACACCUUCUACUUGUUGCAGUGUCCCUAAUAACACCAAUGAACCUUAUGUUAUAAUUAAGAAAACUACACUCACUAGGAGUGCAAAUGGUCUGCUCAGUCCUGUUUCAUCUGUUUAUAGUUCAUUCUCUUCUAAUAAAGAAGAUAUGAUUACUCCUAACUCUUGAUUAUCUGUUGAAUGUGAUGUGAAUUUGUUGUGGCAUUAUCGACUUGGCCAUGUGCCCUUUGUGAAAUUGAAAGGUAUUCCAUCCCUAAUAGUUAAGUUUCAGUCAACACAAUCCUUCUUAUGCUCUAUUUACCCUAUGGCCAGACAAACCAGAUUACCCUUUAGUCAUAGGACUAGCAGUACCAAAUGUCACACCCCUUUUUUUUUCAACUCCAAAAAGAUUCAUGAUUUUAAUUGUUUCGAAAGGGUUUUUAUUAUUAAGUGACAAAAGAUGAAAAUUUAUUUCGAAAAGGAUUCAUUUUAUUCUAAACUCAGAGUUGCCACUUGGCAUAAAUCGGGUGUGCCAAGUCACCCGUGGAUAUUCUUUUUCAAAACGGUUUUGACUCUGUAAAACUGAUCCGCGAACAGAGAUUCCAGCUAAGAAAUUCUGUUGAUCGAAGAAAAGGUGUUAGGCACCCCUCGAUCCAGUGGUUCGACCACGGUCGCUUGGUGAAGCGUAUCGGCUAAUUUUGACACUACGAAUGUACAAACCACAAAGAAGCACGUAAAGCAAUCAAACAAACAAACCAAACAAAACGAAUAAAAGUAUAGUGUUCAAUCCAAUUAUACAGUCCCAAAAAUAAAAAAAUGCGAAAAUAAAUCCUAUCUAACCUAUACUAAUUCUAACUAUGCUCCCUUGCUUUACUCGACGCCUCGGGCCUUCCUCACGAACGUCUUUCCGCUAACAUAGUACGUCGGGGCAUUCCCCGAUGAACACACACAAAUACCUCGAGGCAUUCCCCGGCCAAAUGAAUACAUUUAAUGAAAUGUGAUGAAAAUGAAGAAAAGCACUCAACACAAAUAUUUACACAUUCGAUGAUUAAAAUCCUACGAGUUGCCUACCCCCUAAAACCUAGAACUUGCCUAUCAAUGCCCGACCUAAGACAUGAUACUAUUACACUUAACAUCAAUAUUUAUUUCAAAAUAAACCGACAACAAUAAAUCAAGACUAAUCCUUUUUUAUUUUAUCAAUUUUUCGAUCCCGACCCCAAACAACAACUUUAAUUCUCAAUCAACGAUUAACUAAUCUUUAGACUAUCAAUUUAAUCUUCAUAAUCCGAAUUCAACAUCAACCAACAUUUAUGAUUCAAACAUCACAAAAUAAAACAAAAAACAAGAUGCAGACAUUGUCAAUUCGCCACACAAAAUAUAAAAAUUUAAAAUUAUUCGAGAAAAAGGAUUAGAAAUGGACCUCAAUCGAAGCUUUUAUUGUGUCAAAUAAUGCAAUUAGAAAAUAGAAUCGGGUUCAAAAGCCUCAAGUCGAACCUCGAUCGCGAACUGACCAACUCCAAAACUCGGUAUCACCAAAAUCAAAACUCGGAACUGACCACGAUGACCCAGUCGAGACAAAUCGAACCUUUAAAGCGUGUCUUUCAAUUUUAAAAAUUCUUCAAAAUAGAGCAGCCCUUAAACCUUGUACAAAAUUCACACUUAUUAAAGAAUUGAUCUCGGCUUUUAUUUUUGCCUUAACCGAUGGUGCAGAAAACACUAAAAUUCGACCCACGAACCUAGAUUUUUACCCAAAAUCUCAAAAUUGAAGCAAUGAGGGAGAAAGAAAGUAAAUUCGACAGCUCCCUAAAGAAUUCUGUGACUGUUUUAUGGUUUAUAUUAUGAAGAUCAAUGCGAAGGGAGUCAUCUAGUCAGUAAUGAAAUGGAAUUUUAGAGAUGGAGAUGUGGGUGACGUAUGACCCAAAAUGAAAGAGGGUAUGUGUUGUUAUUCUAGGAAGAAAAAGAGAAGGGGGUGUGUGAAUGUCGAUGGUUGUGCGUGUAUGGUGUGUACAGAAAGAGUGACGAUGGAAGGAAUAGUGUUGGUGUUUGUCUAUGGUGAGAGAAUUGUAUGGGGUGACUGUGAGAGUGUGUUGGUUAGAAUAGGAUUAAAACAAGAUAAAAUUUGUUAGGGAUUUUUUUAAGGGUUGUUAUUUUUUGUACAUUUGUGGGAUAUAAUCACACGGGUGAGGGCACACAGUAAGACGAGGGUAAAAUGGUAAAAAAAAGCUUUCAGUGAGGGACAACAUUACGUGUCUACAUCAUGCCCCCUUUGAAUGUAAACACAGAGUGUUUUCAUACAAAGAAGUAGACAACGAGACAGAAUUUUGUCCCGAUCAUUAUUCAAAGGAACAAAUAGAAGGAAGAAAGUCAACCGAGUCUUCACUUAGGACACCCUACCUACCCAAGUUAUGAGGGAAUUAAGUGACAGGUAUAUCAAAGGAUUGAAAGUAGAUGAACUAUACCGAGUUGGAGAGUUGAGUGAGGUUCCAUCGAGGUUACGGUCCGCGGCUCUGUCAUUACAUCAAAAUGGAAAUUACAAAUUAACAUAUAAAUAGAAUUAUAAAAAUCCUACCUAUGCAGCUUCUUUUGGACUUUAGUUUCAUCACCCUAUUCUUCAGGCGGACUCUUGACUUGAAAUUUCUUCAACUUUUUCAUCACCCUGUUCUUUGGGCAGGCUCCUGACUUGCAAUUUCUUCAACUUGUUGCUUGGUUUUCAACUUCUUCACCUUGUUUGAAUUUCAACUUCUUGACCUUGUUGCUUGACUUUCAAUCUCUUGACCUUGUUAUUUGACUUUCAAUUCUUUCAACCUGUUCUUCAAACGGGCUCCUGACUUUCAAUUUUCAAUCAUCUUCAAAUUUCAUCACCCUGUACUUCAAGCGGGCUCCUGAAACCAGAAUCAAAACGAGAACGAAAAUUAUCCCAAACAAAGAUUAAGAUAUAGAAAUAUUUUACUUUUUGAAAGUAAAGUCCCAUUCUUUAGGAGGGUCCUGAACAGAAAGUAAAGUCCCAUUUUUCAGGAGGGUCCUGAACAGAAAGUAAAAUCCCAUUUUUUAGGAGGGUCCUGAACAGAAAGUAAAAUUCUAUUUUUCAGGAGGGUCCUGAAUAGAAAGUAAAAUCAUAUUUUUAAGGAGGGUCCUGAACAGAAAGUAAAGUCCCAUUUUUCAAGAGGGUCCAGAACAGAAAGUAAAGUCUCAUUUUUCAGGAGGGUCCUGAACAGAAGUAAAAUCGUAUUUUUCAGGAGGGUCUGAAACAGAAAGUAAAGUCCCGUUUUUUAGGAGGGUCCUGAACAAAAAGUAAAGUCCCAUUUUUCUGGAGGAUCCUGAACAGAAAGUAAAGUCUCAUUUUCCAGGAGGGUCCUAAACAGAAAGUAAAGUUCCAUUUUUCAGGAGGGUCCUGAGCAGAAAGCAAAGUCCUAUUUUUCAGGAAUGUCCUGAACAGAAAGUAAAAUCCCAUUUUUAAGGAGGGUACUGGGCAAAAAGUAAAGUCCCAUUUUUUAGGAGGGUCCUGAACAGAAAGUAAAGUCUCAUUUUUAAGAAGGGUCCUGAACAGAAAGUAAAAUCCCAUUUUCAGGAGAGUCCUGAGCAGAAAGUAAAGUCCCAUUUUUCAGGAAGGUCCUGAACAUAAAGUAAAGUCCCAUUUUUUAGAAGGGUCCUGAGCAGAAAGUAAAGUCCCAUUUUUCAGGAGGGUCCUGAGUAGAAAGUAAAGUCCCAUUUUCCAGGAGGGUCCUGAACAGGAAGUAAAAUCCCAUUUUUAGGAGGGUCCUGAACAGAAAUUAAUGUCCCAUUUUUCAGUAGGGUCCUGAACAGAAAGUAAAAUCCCAUUUUCUAAGAGGGUCCUGAACAGAAAGUAAAAUCUCAUUUUUCAGGAGGGUCCUGAACAGAAAGUAAAGUCCCAUUUUCCAGGAGGGUCCUGAACAGAAAGUAAAAUCCCAUUUUUAAGAGGGUUCUGUCUGAAAGUAAAAUCCCAUUUUUAGGAGGGUCCUAAACAGAAAGUAAAAUCUCAUUUUCCAGGAGGAACCUGAAUAGAAAGUAAAGUCCCAUUUUUCAGGAGGGUCUUGAACAGAAAGUAAAAAUUCAUUUUUCAGGAGGGUCCUGAACAAAAAGUAAAGUUCCAUUUUUCAGGAGGGUCCUGAACAGAAAGUAAAGUCCAAUUUUCCAGGAGGGUCCUGAACAGAAAUAAAAGUCCUAAACAGAAAGUAAAGUCUUAUUUUUCUGGAGGGUCCUGAACAGAAAGUAAAGUCCCAUUUUCCAGGAGGGUCCUGAACAGAAAGCAAAUUCUCAUUUUUCAGGAGAGUCCUAAACAGAAUGUAAAGUCCCAUUUUCCAGGAGGGUCCUGAGCAGAAAGUAAAAUCCCCUUUUCCAGGAGGGUCCUGAGCAGAAAGUAAAGUCUCAUUUUUCAGUAGGGUCCUGAACAGAAAGUAUAGUCCCAUUUUUCAGGAGGGUCCUGAGCAGAAAGUAAAGUCCCAUUUUUUAGGAGGGUUCUAAACAGAAAGUAAAAUCCCAUUUUUUAGAAAGUUCCUGAGCAGAAAGUAAAUUUCCACUUUUCAGGAGGGUCCUGAACAGAAAAUAAAGUCUAAUUUUUCAGUAGAGUCCUGGACAGAAAGUUAGGUCUCAUUUUUCAGGAGGGUCUUGAACAUGAAGUAAAGUCCUAUUUUUUAGGAGGGUACUGAACAGAAUGUAAAGUCCCAUUUGUUAAGAGGGUCCUAAACAAAAAGUAAAGUCCCAUUUAACCGGAGGGUCCUGAGCAAAAAGUAAAGUCCUAUUUUUCAGGAGGCUCCUGGACAGAAAGUAAAAUCCUAUUUUUCAGGAAAGUCCUAAGCAGAAAGUAAAGUCUCAUUUUUUUAAGAGGGUCCUGAGAAGAAAGUAGAGUCUCAUUUUUUAGGAGGGUCCUGAACAGAAAGUAAAAUCCCAUUUUUCAGGAUGGUCCUGAGCAAAAAGUAAAGUCCUAUUUUUUAAGAGGGUCGUGAACAUAAAGUAAAGUCCCGUUUUCUAGGAGGAUCCUGAGCAGAAAGUAAAGUCCCAUUUUUCAGGAGGGUCCUAAACGAAAGUAAAGUCCCACUUUCCAGGAGGGUCCUGAAAAGAAAGUAAAAUUCCAUUCUUAGGAGGGUCCUGAACAGAAAGUAAUGUCCCAUUUUUCAGGAGAGUCCUGAACAGAAAGUAAAAUCCCAUUUUUCAAGAGGGUCCUGAACAGAAAGAAAAGUCCUAAACAGAAAGUAAAGUCUUAUUUUUCAGGAGGGUCCUGAACAGAAAGUAAAGUCCCAUUUUCCAGGAGGGUCCUGAACAGAAAGCAAAAUCUCAUUUUUCAGGAGGGUCCUAAACAGAAAGUAAAGUCCCAUUUUCCAGGAGGGUCCUGAACAGAAAGUAAAAUCCCAUUUUUAGGAGGGUCCUGAACGAAAAGUAAGGUCCCAUUUUCCAGGAAAGUUCUGAACAGAAAGUAAAAUCUUAUUUUUCAGGAGGGUCCUGAACAGAAAGUAAAAUGCCAUUUUUAGGAGGGUCCUGAACAGAAAGUAAAGUCUCAUUUGCUAGAAGGGUCCUGAACAGAAAGUAAAAACUUAUUUUCCAGGAGGAUCUUGAGCAUAAAUUAAGGUCCCAUUUUCAGGAGGGUCCUGAACAGAAAGUAGAGUCCUAUUUUCCUGGAGGGUCCUUAGCAGAAAGUAAAAUACCAUUUUUUAGGAGGGUCCUGAACAGAAAGUAAAGUCCCAUUUUUCAGGAGGGUCCUGAACAGAAAGUAAAGUCCCAAUUUUCAGAAGGGUCCUGAACAGAAAGUAAAAUCUCAUUUUCCAAGAGGGUCCUGAACAGAAAGUAAAAUCUCAUUUUUCAGGAGGGUCCUGAACAGAAAGUAAAGUCUCAUUUUUUGGGAGGAUCUUGAACAGAAAUUAAAAUCCCAUUUUUAAGAGGGUCCUAAACAGAAAGUAAAGUCCCAUUUACCAUAACGGUCCUGAACAGAAAGUAAAAUCCCAUUUUCCUGGAGGGUCCUGAACAGAAAGUAAAAUCCCAUUUUUAGGAGGGUCCUAAACAGAAAUUAAAGUCCCAUUUUUCAGGAGGGUCCUUAAAUAAAUGUAAAAUUCCAUUUUUUAGGAGGGUCCUUAACAGAAAGUAAAGUCCCAUUUUUUAGGAGGGUCUUGAGUAGAAAGUAAAAUUCCAUUUUUCAGGAGGGUCCUGAGCAGAAAGUAAAUUCCCAUUUUCUAGGAGGGUCCUGAGCAGAAAGUAAAGUCCCAUUUUCUAGUAAGGUCAUGAACAGAAAGUAUAGUCCCAUUUUUCAGGAGGGCCCUAAGCAGAAAGUAAAGUCACAUUUUUUAGGAGAGUCCUAAACAGAAAGUAAAACCCCUUUUUUCAGGAAGUUCCUGAGCAGAAAAUAAAGUUUUAUUUUUCAAGAGGUUCCUGAACAGAAAGUAACGUCUCAUUUUUUAUGAGAGUCCUGAACAGAAAGUAAAAUCUUAUUUUUCGGGAGUGUCCUAAACAGAGAGUAAAGUCCCACUUUUUAGGAGGCUCCUGAGCAGAAAGUAGAGUCUCAUUUUUUAGGAGGGUCCUGAACAGAAAGUAAAAUCCUAUUUUUCAGGAGGGUCCUGAGCAAAAAGUAAAGUCCCAUUUUUUAGGAGGGUUAUGAACAUAAAGUAGAGUCCCAUUUUGUAGGAGGGUCCUGAGCAAAAAGUAAAGUCCCAUUUUUUAGGAGGGUCGUAAACAGAAAGUAAUGUCCCAUUUUCCAGGAGGGUCCUGAACAAAAAGUAAAAUUCCAUUCUAAGGAGGGUCCUGAACAGAAAGUAAAGUCUUAUUUUUCAGGAGGGUCCUGAACAGAAAGUAAAAUCUCAUUUUUCAGGAGGGUCCUAAACAGAAAGUAAAGUCCCAUUUUCCAGGGGGUCCUGAACAGAAAGUAAAAUCUCAUUUUUAGAAGGGUCCUGAACAGAAAGUAAAGUCCCAUUUUCCAGGAAGGUCCUAAACAGAAAGUAAAAUCCUAUUUUUUCGGAGGGUCCUGAACAGAAAGUAAAGUCCCAUUUUCUAGAGGGUCUUGAACAGAAAGUAAAGUCUUAUUUUCCAGGAGGGUCCUGAGCAUAAAUUAAAGUCUCAUUUUUCAGGAGAGUCCUGAACAGAAAGUAAAGUCCUAUUUUUUGGGAGGGUCCUCAGCAGAAAGUAAAAUACCAUUUUUCAGGAGGGUCCUGAGCAGAAAGUAAAGUCCCAUUUUUCAGGAGGGUCCUGAACAGAAAGUAAAGUCCCAUUUUCCUCGAGGGUCCUGAGCAGAAAGUAAAUUCCCAUUUUUUAGGAGGGUCCUGAACAGAAAGUAAAAUCCUAUUUUUCAGGAGGGUCCUGAGCAGAAAGUAAAGUCCCAUUUUUCAGAAGAGUCCUGAACAGAAAGUAAAUUCUCAUUUUCCAGGAGGGUCCUGAACAGAACGUAAAGUCCCAUUUUUUAGGAGGGUCCUGAACAGAAAGUAAAGUCUCAUUUUUCAUGAGGGUCCUAAACGAAAAGUAAAAUCCCAUUUUUCAAGAAGGUCCUGAACAGAAAUUAAAGUCAUAUUUUUCAGGAGGGUCCUCAACUAAAAGUAAAGUCCCAUUUUUCAGGAGGGUCCUGAACAGAUAGUAAAAUCCCAUUUUCAGGAGGGUCCUGAACAGAAAGUAAAAUUCUAUUUUACAGGAGGGUCUUGAACAGAAAGUAAAGUCUCAUUUUUCAGGAAAGCCCUGAACAGAAAGUAAAGUCCCUUUUUUCAGGAUGGCCCUGAGCAAAAAGUAAAGUCCCAUUUUUUGGGAGGGUCCUGAGCAGAAAGUAAAGUCUUAUUUUUCAGGAGCAUCCUGAACAGAAAGUAAAAUCCCAUUCUUAGGAGGGUCCUGAGCAGAAAGUAGAGUCUCAUUUUUCAGGAGGGUCCUGAACAGAAAGUAAAAUCUCAUUUUUUAGGAGGGUCCUGAGCAGAAAUUAAAAUCUCAUUUUUCAGGAGGGUCCUGAACAGAAAGUAAAAUCUCAUUUUUUAGGAGGGUCCUAAGCAGAAAGUAAUGUCUUAUUUUUCAGGAGGGUCCUGAAUAGAGAGUCAAGUCCUAUUUUCUAGGAGAGUCCUGAGCAGAAAGUAAAGUCCUAUUUUUCAGGAGGGUCCUGAACAGAAAGUAAAGACCCAUUUUCCAGGAGGGUCCUGAACAAAAAGUAAAAUUUCAUUUUUCAGGAGGGUUCUGAAUAGAAAAAUAAGUCUCAUGGAUGUGCAUUUCCUAUGGUAGGUGAAUUAAGUGAAGUGAGUUUGCCCCUAUUUCAACAAAGAAAAUUUGUCAGUUAAAAACUUAGUAGUGGCUUACGACAAUUGGAUAUCCCGACACCUACUCAAGUGCUUAUUCCCUUCAUUUUAUUUCAGAUUGCUGGCACUUGGCCCUGCUUUGUCGUGUCAUAGACCCAAACUCAGAUUAUUAAGAGUGACUCCGAAAUGAACACAGUAUCCCUGCUAUGUCAUGCUUCUCAGAUAAACUCUUUAAACCUUGGUAUUUUCAUGAGUUCCCCAGCUUGUCUAUUGACAAAACUUUCUGCAUGGCUUAUUCAGCUCACAAUCAUGUCUCUUUCAUAUGCUGACUUUGUCUUGAUUUGUGAAAUUGAAGAAGCUAGUAGCCAGUUUUGAAAUCUUUUCUCACUUGUUUUGAUAUAGACUUGACUCAAAGAAAAGAGAAAAAUGACAAUGACUUUUAUUUGGACCACUGACUCAAGAAAACAAAAUAAAAAUAAAGAGAAGAAAGAAAAGAUAAUGAAUGUCCCCAUUUGAAACAAAGAAAUGAAAAAUUUAUCUAGAAAUAACAGUCAACUCUAAUGGUUAUGCCAUGCAUAUCAGAUUAAGCUACCUGAUCUUUCCAUCCAAAACUUUCUACUAAUUGUUGUUGAGUUAAUGACCUCGAAAAUGAGUUGCUUCCUUAGGUCAAUUGCAUUUAAGACCUCAUUCUGCUAAUGGCGCCUUGAAGGGUUUUUUGCCAACAAGUCUCUCUCAUUUUCUUUUUCCCAGCUCACUAUUGCCCUAUGGUGUCCAUGAGGGCUUUUCACCAAUGAAACUCUCUCAUUUUUAUUUGUCUCAACUCACCGUCAUCUUACAGUACCCGUGAGGGUUUUCACCGAUAAGACUCUCUCAUUGUUUCUCCCUCAGCUUACCAUCAUUUUACGGUGCCCGUGAGGGUUUUCACCGAUAAGACUCUCUCAUUGUUAUCUCCCCCAGCUUACCGUUAUCUUACGGUGCCCGUGAGGAUUUUCACCGAUAAGACUCUUUCAUUUUUAUUUCCCUCAGCUUACCAUCAUCUUACGGUGCCCGUGAGGGUUUUCAUCGAUAAGACUCUCUUAUUUUUUAUUUCUCUCCCGAUUCUUAUUGCUGAGGUAGACAAGUAGUUCCCAAAAUGCGUCAUCACAUGCUUAGUCUUAACAUUCUUAAAGAUUGAUCUGAAGGUCUUUCUUUGGUUGUAGCUUGGCUUUUAGAUAAGGUUAGAAGAAAAGGAUAACACGAGGCCUAAACGACACUUGAAGUGGGGUAGGACUUACAACUUUUGGAAUAGACGCAAAUAAUGAAGAUUAAAUCAUGCCCCAGUUUCUUUUGACUGGACAAUUAUAAAUUUUUUAUUUGGUUAGACCGAGCCCUUAGUAGGGCAGCCUACGUAUCUCACCCCCGAGAGAGGAGAAUCAGGUCAUGCGUAGUUCUGGCAGUUUGUUCUUUUGAUUGAUUCUGAUUUUUGUUUCUUCUUAUUCUUUUUUUCUCUUUUCUCUUUGGGAUUUUUUUCUGACCCUAUUUUUUAUACUCUUCUCUUUUCUUUCCUUUUGGACAUAUUUUUUUUCGACACUUUUCUUUUGAGUUUUAUUGACUCUAUAUUGAUUCCAAAAGAGGGGUAUGAAAGAAAAUAGGACUAAAGCUCAAAUGGGGUAAACAAAGGAUGACACAAUGUUUGGAUAACAGAAUAAAAUACCUUCGUCAUAUCAAUCCUUGAAAAUACUAGUACAUAGCAUGCAAGUGAAAGUGAAAGAUGAAGAUCAUUGUGACAUCUCUUACAACAUUAACUUUGACUAAGUCUGUGCAUCACUACUUCUUUCGCAAACUCAACCUUUGUUGUGCAUUCCUCACACUGAAUGACUUAUGAUUUUGUGGAGCUAAUUUUCGUUCAGUUCACACAGCCACUAUUUGACCUAAUUGAGACAUGUCUUUCAAUUGAUGACCAAGUUAUUCUUGUGAUUCUCAAAAUAAGUGCCUUAAUUUUCAAAGAAGGCUUCAACUUGUUGCCAAAUAUCUUAGCACUCUACCUAUUUCCUCAGAUGUUCUCUUUUACUAACUUAAACCUCUGAUUCAAUGUUUCAUGGUUAAAUUGGAUUUUAAGAUCUGACUAAAAAUUCCGCUAGCAUGUCAUAACAAUAUAAUCAACAUAACAUGUGAUGUGUAAAGAAAACAAACACAUUUAAAACACAAAGGGAAAAGGACACUUCAUUUAGUUGAAAUAAAAGAUAGAAAUAUUUGAACAUAAAUGACACAGGGACAAAACAGGAUAGAUCCCGAACUAUAACCUUGAAAUAAUUCAAAAAAUAGAAAAAAAAAAUAAAACAAACUACCAGGCCUCUUCCUAGCAGGGAGUGAAGUGACUUCUCAAUUGCUCAUCCUGACAUCUUAGCCACUAGUUUGCAUCUCAGCAUGACUAGAUAUUUCCUCACUGUCAAAGUUCUGCACCAUAAUCAAUUUGUCUUGAAUCAUCUUUUCAAUUUCUCUUUUCAAAGUACGACAAUCUUCAAUACUGUGACCCUGAACAUUAGAAUGAUAUGCACAUCGUACAUUAGGAUCAAAACUUCUUAAAUGCGGGUCAGGAGUAUACCCAAGGAGAGGAGUGAUCAUGCCUCACUGUGUCAAUCUCUGAAAUAAACUGGCAUAUGACUCUCCAAUUGGUGUGAAACUAUCCCUCAAUUUCUGACUCAUUUCAUUGUUUAAUUUGGAUCGAACAUCAGGCCUAGAAGGGCUUUGGUAUGUUUGUGGAAUUAGAGGACGACUUUAAAGAGUUGGUGCGCGCCAUUGUGGGUAAGGAGGGAUUUGAACAUAUGGUUGUGCUCAAUAUACUAGAUAUAGAGGUGGGAAAACAGAGUAUAAUGGAUUUUAGGAGUGAUUAUAGAGAACUUGGGUAUGAACUUGGGCUUGAUACUGACGGCAAUGACGACGUCGUCUUCUUGGAUGUGCCCGUUCUCCAACUACAAUAACAAAUGUCAUCUUUCUCAUCCUUCUUCCCUCUGGGUUUCCUUAAUUGAUUGCAAUAUUGUCCCAAAUGUUUCACGGAUUCCUCAUGCCUAUCUUGCUCCUCAAAUUUCGACAUCUCAAAGAUUGGAGGAAGGUUAGCACUUGAAGGCAUGGCCCAGUAUUUGUAUGAAACAUCUUUUUUACCCGCAGGUCCUAGAGAAUUUUUCAUAGCGUUUUCUGCACUCUUCAUUUUUCCAACCAUUCUCUCCGACUCUUCUGGCACACUAAACUUCUUGUUAAGAAAUUUUGGUGGUCUAGUUAACUUAAAAGCAGGCUCAAGAGUAUAACAAUAAUCACCAAAAGUAUUGAAUAUAGGUUCACUAGCAGCAUGGGAACGCAUAAUUAUUGGGCGAGCCAGUGUGGAAGUCCCAGUAGAAGAUUGAGCAACAAAAUCACAGACGACACGUGGUGUUGUGAAAGUAGCAGGCUUAUACUGAGGAGCUAGAGGAAAAGUGGUGGAAGUAUUGAGAUGUUUUUGGCUUGGAAUGAAUUCUGAGUCAUGUUGCGGUGCAUCAACAACAGUAGAAAACUAACUUUGAGAUUUUGGAGGAAAACUCGAGGUAUUUGUAGGAUCAAUAAAGGGAAAUAGAGGAGGAGGCAACCCACUGGCCCAAUCUCGAUGCAUUUCUGUCAUUUGUUGUCUUAGCCUCCUAAUCUCUUGCUUCAAACUCUUAUUUUCCUGAUUCUUUGUUUGAUCCAUGAUGCCACUCUCUAUAUCUUUGUUGGACACAACUAACCCUUUGGAUUUGGUGUGAUAUAAAGGACCAGCCAGAAUGCCACAAACCAACCACCUUAAACUGACUCAACAAAAAAAAAAUGUAUUAGAGUUCAACACUUUUCAAGAACUCUUUUUCCUUUUUUUUGUAAAGAUCACCGAACCAAAGAAGGGCGCCUACGUAUCUCACCCCCGAGAGAGGAGAAUCAGGUCAUGCGUAGCUCUUGAAGUCUUGCCCAAAUGGCCAAUUAAACUCUUUUUUUAUUCCUUGAAACUUUAAGAAGAAAAGAAAAUAACAAUUUAUCAAAAGAAUUGACAAUAAUCUUUUUGAAUUUUUUCAGCUUUAACAUCCCUAUACAAAAAUGAAAUCUAUGAUUACUAAAGAAAAAUCUUUUUUGGGUUUUCAAUUUUGAAUUUCAUAUGAAAAUGAAACUUGAACCUAUUAAAGGAAAUUUUGCAGCUUUCUUUUAAAGAUGUAUAUGAAACGCUUACUCUAAAUAAAGAGUGAAGAAAAUAUUUUUGAAUUUUUCAAAUAAGAUCCCCAAACCAACAAUAGGUUUCCUACGUAUCUCACUUCCGAGAGAGGAGAAUCAGGUUGAAGCCUUGCCAAAAUGGCCAAUUAAACUCUUUUUCUAUUCCUUGAAACUUUAAGAAGAAAAGAAAAUAGCAAUUUGUCAAAAAAAUUGACAAAAAGUCUUUUUGAAUUUUUUCAGCUUUAACAUCCCUAUACAAAAAUGAAAUCUAUGAUUACCAAAGAAAAAUCUUUUUUGGGUUUUCAAUUUUGAAUUUCAUAUGAAAAUGAAACUUGAACCUAUCAAACGAAAUUUUGCAGUUUUCUUUUAAAGAUGUAUAUGAAACACUUACUCUAAAUAAAAAGUGAAGAAAAUCUUUUUAGAUUUUUCAAAUAAGAUCCCCGAACCAACAAUAGGUUGCCUAUGUAUCUCACUCCGAAAGAGGAGAAUCAGGGGUGCGUAGUUCGUCCAGAUUGGACAAUUAAGGAUUAAAUAACCAGCUAGACCCUGACGUAAGAGAUUCGACCAAAGACAAACGAUGAACAAUGUUAUAAAAUAUUUUUGAGUUUUUUCAUUUGACACUUCACAUAAAACUGACACCAACAACUACGAAAGGAAGAUCUUUUUGGUAUUUUAUUUUAUGAAAUGAACACAACUACUACCAUUUUUUUGAAUUUUCUUUUAUAAAGAAGCUCCUAUUAAGAGAAAAAAUCUUUUUUGAAAAUUUUGAAUUAUGAAUGCAUGGUAAAGAAAUAAAAGGAAAAAAAAAUUGAUGUUUUUGAGAACAUGAGUGCAAAGUGUAAAACAUCUUUUUGAAUUGUGACAAAAAAAAUCAAAAGUCAUAAAGAACUCUAAAACUACGAAACACUCUUUUUUUACUCACCUUUCUUUUUUCUCUCUUUUUUUCAACAUUUUCUUGUCUACACACUUUACUUCUAACACAUGCUUUCCCCAAAUUAAUCGGUCAAAUGACCAUGUUAUCUUUAGGGAUGCAACAUUUAGCAUGUAGGGAUGCUUUAGAGGUAAGUCUUCUACAAAGGACUAAGUGAGUCCCACUAGGUCUCAAUAUGAUGCAGAUAAGCAUGAUCUAAAGACUAACCUACGCUGGGAUCCACUAACAAGGUUGUUCGGGGGAGCGUAUGAUCGAUAGUGGCUGCGAGAGCUUCCCACCCACUCCAUAACACCGACGGCUCCCCCUCUUAAAAUAGGGGUGACUCAACUAGAGGUCGUGUACAACACGUGUACUACAGACUUAUUGUAGAAAGAAUGACUCGGGUUAUGCACAUGAUGCCAGAUAUAAAGCGGUAACACGUAAAGAAAAACUGUAAACACAUAACAAGUAGGCACUCAACAAUGAUAAAACAAAUACGAACAAUAACACAAAAAUGUCUAUACACCCAUAAUGUCAAACAAAGCCGAUACAACUUCAAAAAUUAGCUCGAAUUCUGAAAAAUCCUCAGCAAAGUCGCCAGAGCUGUCACACCCCUUUUUUUUCAACUCCAAAAAGAUUCAUGAAUUGUUUUGAAAGGAUUUUUAUUAUUAAGUGACAAAAUAUGAAAAUUUGUUUCGAAAAAGAUUCAUUUUAUUCUAAACUCAAAGUCGCCACUUGGCAUAAAUCGGGUGUGCCAAGUCACCCGUGGAUAUCCUUUUUCAAAAUGGUUUUGACUCUGUAAAACUGAUCUGCGAACAGAGAUUCCGGCUAAGGAAUUCUGUUGGUCGAAGGAAAGGUGUUAGGAACCCCUCGAUCUCGUGGUUCGACCACGGUCGCUUGGUGAAGCGUAUCGGCUAAUUUUGACACUACGAAUGUACAAACCACAAAGAAGCACGUAAAGCAAUCAAACAAACAAACCAAACAAAACGAAUAAAAGUAUAGUGUUCAGUCCAAUUAUACAGUCCCAAAAAUAAAAAAAAUGUAAAAAUAAAUCAUAUCUAACCUAUACUAAUCCUAACUAUGCUCCCUUGCUUUACUCGACGCCUCGGGCCUUCCUCAUGAACGUCUUUCUGCCAACAUAGUACGUCGGGGCAUUCCCCAGUGAACAAACACAAAUACCUCGGGGCAUUCCCCGACCAAAUGAAUACAUUUAAUGAAAUGUGAUGAAAAUGAAGAAAAGCACUCAACACAAAUAUUUACACAUUCGGUGAUUAAAAUCCUACGAGUUGCCUACCCACCAAAACCUAGAACUUGACUAUCAAUGUCCAACCUAAGACAUGAUACUAUUACACUAAACAUCAAUAUUUAUUUCAAAAUAAACCGACAACAAUAAAUCAAGACUGAUCCUUAUUCAUUUUAUCAAUUUUUCGAUCUCGACCCCAAACAACAACUUUAAUUCUCAAUCAACGAUUAACUAAUCUUUAGACUAUCAAUUUAAUCUUCAUAAUUUGAAUUCAACAUCAACCGACAUUUAUGAUUCAAACAUCACAAAAUCAAACAAAAACAAGAUCUACACAUUUUCAAUUCGCCACACAAAAUAUCAAAAUUUAAAAUUAUUCAAGAAAAGGGAUGAAAAAUGAACCUCAAUCGAAGCUUUUAUUGUGUCAAAUAAUGUGAUUAAAAAAUAGAAUCGGGUCCAAAAGCCUCAAGUCGAACCUCAAUCGCGAACUGACCAACUCCAAAACUCGGUAUCACAAAAAUCAAAACCCGAAACUGACCACAAUGACCCAAUCGAGACAAAUCGAACCUUUGAAGCGUGUCUUUCAAUUUUAAAAAAUCUUUAAAAUAGAGCAACCCUUAAACCUUGUAUAAAAUUCACACUCAUUAAAGAAUCGAUCUUAGCUUCUAUUUUUGCCUUAACCGAUGGUGCAGAAAACACCAAAAUUCCAACAAACCUAGAUUUUUACCCAAAAUCUCAAAAUCAAAGCAAUGAGGGAGAAAGAAAGUAAAUUCGACAGCUCCUCAAAGAAUUCCGUGACUGUUUUAUGGUUUAUCCUAUGAAGAUCAAUGCGAAGGGAGUCAUCUAGUCAGUAAUGAAAUGGAAUUUUGGAGAUGAAGAUGUGGGUGACGUAUAACCCAAAAUGAAAGAGGGUUUGUGCUGUUAUUCUAGGAAGAAAAAGAGAAGGGGGUGUGAAUGUCGAUGGUUGUGCGUGUAUAGUGUGUCAAGAAAGAGUGACGAUGGAAGGAGUAGUGUUGGUGUUUGUCUACAGUGAGAGAAUUGUAAGGGGUGAGUGUGAGAGUGUGUUGGUUAGGAUAGGAUUAAAACAAGAUAAAAUUUAUUAGGGAUUUUGUUAAGGGUUGUUAUUUUUCGUACAUUUGUGGGAUAUAAUCACACGGGUGAGGGCACGCAGUAAAAAGAGGAUAAAAUGGUAAAAAAAAGCUUUCAGGGAGGGAUAAAAUUAUGUGUCUACACCAAAUAUGCAUUUGAACUGGUCCAUGUAGAUUUAUAGGGCCCUUACCACACAUCUACACAUGACAAUUACAAGUAUUUCCUCACUAUGGUGGAUGAUUAUAGUAGAUCUACCUGGACACAUUUAUUGAACACCACAAGUAAUACCUUGUCUGUCCUAAAAACCUUCAUCUCAUUGAUAGAGAACCAAUUCAAUACCUCAGUCAAAAUAAUUAGAUCUGACAAUGGUCUUGAGUUCACCAAUAAUGAAGCCUUAGAUUUCUUUCAUUCCAAAAGUAUAAACCAUCAGAAAACUUACCCAUAUACACCACAACAAAAUAGUGUGGUGGAAAAGAAACACAAAUAUUUACUUGAAACAUAUAGAGCACUCUUAUUUCAAUAAAAAUUACCUCUAAAGUAUUAGGGUGAUUGUCUUUUAGCAGUAACAUAUAUCGUUAACAGACUUUCCUCUACCCAUCUCAACAACAAAUGCCCUUAUGAACUGUUGUACAAUCAAAAGCCUGAUUACUUCCACUUGAGAUCAUUUGGAUGUUUAUGUUAUCCAACAGUACCCAAAGUGGAUAAACUUGAGCCAAGAACUACACCCCAUGUCUUUAUUGGAUAUCCAUUUGGAACAAAGGGCUAUAAGGUGAUGAGUCUUGCCACAAAAAGGAUACAUAUCUCCAGGGAUGUCAUUUUUCAUGAACAUGUUUUUUCUUUCAAUCUAGUGUCUGAGAAUCAUACUUUUCCUUCUGUUCUCAAAUCUGUUUUCAAUAGUAAUCCCAUGUACAGUGAUUAUGAACCACAACAAACCUUGGUGAAUGAUCAUGGUAGUGAUUCUGUUACACAUACUGCACCACCAUCCAAUCUUGGUCCUACACACCCAUCUCAAACAUCUCCCACACUACAUGUAACCUUUUAUGACUCUUCUCAUCAUGGACAAACCAACAAUAUUCCUACAGAGGUGCAGAGAAGGAGGUCCACCAGGGAAAAUAGGACUCAUCAUCACUUCAAAGACUUCAUCUAUUCCAUUCCUACUUUAAAGACCAUUAUACCAUCUCCAAAUACACAUGCUGAUUCAUACGCUGAUCCAUCCCCUACCAAUUUCUAUUUAAGUGCCAUAUUUACUAACCACCAUCAUGUGUCUCCUGAUGUUAUUGCAUACCAUAGUCAAAUACAAAUAUUUUUCAUGAUAGUGAGCCAUCCUUUAAUGAGGAAGCAGCCAUAAAUCCUGCUUGGAAAAAGUCUAUAAUCCAAGAAUUUGAGGCACUAUAUGCUAAUAAUACCUAGGAUCUUGUUGAGUUACCUCCAGGAAAACAAGUAAUUGGAUGUAAGUGGGUAUAUAAAGUUAAGCAUAAAGCAGAUAAGAGUGUAGAAAGGUUCAAAGCUAGGCUUGUGGUGAAGGGAUAUACACAGCAGGCUGGAAUAGACUAUACUGAAACAUAUUCACCAGUAGUCAAAAUGACUACAGUUAGGACAUUGAUAGCAUGUGCAGUGAAGAAAGGUUAGAACAUGUUCCAACUGGAUGUAAAUAAUGCAUUUCUUCAUGAAGAUCUAUAUGAAGAAGUAUAUAUGCAGGUGCCUCAGGGUCUAAAUAUUGGAGAUUGUAAAUUGGUCUACUGGUUGAACAAGUCUCUUUAUGAACUAAAACAGACAAGUAGAUAAUGGUAUGCCAAAUUGACUGAGGCCUUAUCUGCUAGAGGAUACCAUCACUCACAUCAUGAUUAUUCUUUAUUCUAUAAGAAAAAUGGACCAUUUAUGUUGUUCAUAGCAGUCUAUGUAGAUGAUGUAAUUCUGACAGGAACAAAUUCAGAAGAAAUUAUAAUGCUUAAGAACUAUCUGCAUGAAAGUUUUGGGAUCAAAGACCUAAGACAAUUGUACUAUUUCCUGGGAAUGGAGGUGUUAAAAACAGAAGGAGGUGCCAUUAUUUCUCAGAGGAAGUUUACCAUGGACUUUCUCAAGGAGUACAAUUGCUUUGAUUACAGUUCAAUGUCAUCACCACUUGAUCCCACCACUAAGCUGAAAGCCAAAGAAGGAGAUCCAUUGCCAGAUCCCACAUAUUAUAGAAAGCUUAUAGGGAAGUUGAAUUUCCUCACUAAUACUAGAUUGGAUAUAGCAUUUAGUGUGCAACAAUUAAGUCAAUACAUACAAGAUCCCAGAUUGCCUCAUCUCAAGGCAACUUUUUACUUGCUUAGAUACCUAAAUAAAGAUCCAACACUUGGAAUUUAUAUGUCCAAAGAUGCAGAUUGCACAGUAAAGACCUUCUGUGACUCUAACUGGGCCUCUUGUCCUGAUUCACGGAGGUCAGUUAGUGGUUACUUAGUGCUUCUGGGAAACAACCCCAUCAGCUAGAAGUCCAAGAAAUAGGUUACCAUCUUUUUAUCCUCUGCAGAAGCUGAGUACAGAUCCUUAAGAAAAGUAGUGGGUGAGUUGGUAUGGUUUGAUAGAUUGUUUGCUGAGUUGAGUGUUCAUCAUUCAUCUCCUAGUGAGGUAUAUUGUGAAAGCCAAUCAGCAAUACACAUAGCUCGAAAUCCUGUGUUUCAUGAGCGUACAAAACACAUUGAGGUCGACUGCCACUUUGUUAGGAAAAAGCUUCAAAAGGGGCUUUUCACUCUUCAUCACGUUGAUACUACUCACCAGUUGUCUGACAUCCUUACAAAGGCUCUCACUGGAGUUAAGCACUCUACUUUUCUACACAAGUUGGUUGUGAAGUCAUCACCUCCAACUUGAGGAGGGGUAUUAAAAUUAGAGAUUAAUUAUCAUAAGAUUGUAUAUUUUAGUUUGUUAAUGAUUAGUUAGUUUGUUAGUGAUUAGUUAGUUAGUUGGAUUAAUAGUGAUGUCCAACUGUCAAGCAAGUUGCCACUUGUAUAUAUAUUGUACUCUACAAAGGAGUAAAAACAGUUUUCAUUUUCUCCUCUUAACUGUUUGUUGUUUCUCUCCAAUGGAGAGUAUUCUCUUUUUAUCAAUAAUGCAUGUUUGUCAACGUGUUUCUCAAUAGUAAAGUAUUCAUUGCUUACUUAGACUGCAUAAAUCAAUCGAGUUUAGACUUUUGGUCUACCAAGGUUACUUGGCUUUAGAAUGCUUCCCACUAUGUUUCUACUUUCAUAGGUCUAAGUUUGUUGAUCUCAUGAACAUAAAUAUUUCAUUUCAUUUGUGAUUUGAUAAAAAGUUCACUAAAAUUUGGCUAUAUGUGCUCUCAACAACAACAUACCUAGUGUAUUCCUAAAUAAUGGGGUUCGGGAGGGUAAAGUGUACCCAAACCAUACCACUACCUCAGGUGAAGUAGAGAGACUGAAACUGAUAAACCCCCGACUCAGGACAGAUAACAUUAUAACAAACAAAAAAACAUAAAAGCGUGUAAACUAACACUGCUAGCUACUACAAGAAACAAUACAACCACAAGAUAAUACUAUACACAAUCUAUCCGAAAAUCAUAAACAUCACUCAAACACCCCGAACAGGGAACUCCAGGCGCAAACAAAGUACGCUUCCCUACUGUCGCAGACGGACUCCUACCCCUUAACCCUCUACCCUAAUCUGCGUCCUUCACACCUUCCUAUCAAGGGUCAUAUCCUCUAUAAGCUUUAACUACUUCAUAUCAUGCCUAAUCACCUCCAAUUUUUUCAAACUAAAUGGACUUUUAGUAAUCGUAGAAACUAAAGUUGUGCUUUUAUGAAAUUUUUUCAAAAUUAGGCUUGUGCUUUUGUUUGUACAGCCAAUUUUCAAGUUGAUGCCAACAAAAGAACUAACAAAAUAGCUAAAUAUUUUAGGAAAUUGAAUUUAAGGUGAAGUUUGGAUUAAAAUGUAAAAAUGUGUUUGAUCAUGGUUUUUGGAAAUAUACUUCACUGUUUUUUGAAAAAUUAUAAAAAAUGACAUAUAUCCAUAAAUUUCAAAAACUAUCAAAAAUAUUCACAAAUUUGAAACAGAAUUUUUAUUUUUAUAAUCAACGAUAGGUACAUUAUUCUAAAAUUAUAAUAUGAUAUUUUAAUGAAAAUUAUUGAUAACAUAAUUACCAGCUACUAUAAUUCGUCAAUUAGAAUUAAUUAUGAAAAUCUUGAAUCCAUUAGUGAAAAGGAAGGAGCAAAUAAUAACAACAAUAGUAACAAUCAAAUGGAGUCAUAAUUAUGGACUUGUGUUAAUAUAAAAUAUAAAAAAUUCUAGUAAGUUUUAUAAAUUCCUAAAGAAACCAAUAACUAUAUUUUGACCCAAAAACAUUUUUUUGCACUUUCUUGAAAUUGUGGAAUUUAAUUUCCACAAUCUCUCAAAUAUUAGACAAUUCCAUGGCCAAACAUAUAUUUGGCCAACAUUUUCCCAAAAAUUACCUCCAAAAUAUAAGGCCAAAAAGGUCCUUGCUUGUUCACGUGAAUAUCCAUCAGCAGACAUCACAUGUCGCCAUGGCAAGUGAAGGUACCAAUCAGAAGAAAUUACCAAGAUUUCUUUGCCUUCAUGGAUUUAGAACAAGUGGAGCAAUUUUGAAGAAGCAAAUUUUUGAUAAAUGGCCAACUCAAGUUGUGGAUAAAUUGGAUCUUGUUUUUAUUGAUGCACCUUUUCCAUGUCAAGGCAAAUCUGAAGUUGAGGGCAUAUUUGACCCUCCUUAUUACGAAUGGUAUCAGUUCAAUAAGGUUGCAGUUCUAAUUUUUAUUUUUUCUGAAUUAAAGCAAUAAAGUACUAAAUCUCGGUAGAUCGUGGCGACAAGGCUACCCUGCCACUUAAAAUGACCCAUUGCUUGUUUAGAUGGUAUUCUAAUUGUAGUUAAAGCUUGUUACAUGAGUUUAUGCUAAAUUAAUUGAAAAAGGAAAAGAAAAAAUAUUUUUAUUUUGUUUUAUAACUGUUGUUGUUUUGAACUAACAACAAUAGUAACAAUCAAAUGGAGUCAUAAUUAUGGACUUGUGUUAAUAUAAAAUAUAAAAAAUUCUAGUAAGUUUUAUAAAUUCCUAAAGAAACCAAUAACUAUAUUUUGACCCAAAAACAUUUUUUUGCACUUUCUUGAAAUUGUGGAAUUUAAUUUCCACAAUCUCUCAAAUAUUAGACAAUUCCAUGGCCAAACAUAUAUUUGGCCAACAUUUUCCCAAAAAUUACCUCCAAAAUAUAAGGCCAAAAAGGUCCUUGCUUGUUCACGUGAAUAUCCAUCAGCAGACAUCACAUGUCGCCAUGGCAAGUGAAGGUACCAAUCAGAAGAAAUUACCAAGAUUUCUUUGCCUUCAUGGAUUUAGAACAAGUGGAGCAAUUUUGAAGAAGCAAAUUUUUGAUAAAUGGCCAACUCAAGUUGUGGAUAAAUUGGAUCUUGUUUUUAUUGAUGCACCUUUUCCAUGUCAAGGCAAAUCUGAAGUUGAGGGCAUAUUUGACCCUCCUUAUUACGAAUGGUAUCAGUUCAAUAAGGUUGCAGUUCUAAUUUUUAUUUUUUCUGAAUUAAAGCAAUAAAGUACUAAAUCUCGGUAGAUCGUGGCGACAAGGCUACCCUGCCACUUAAAAUGACCCAUUGCUUGUUUAGAUGGUAUUCUAAUUGUAGUUAAAGCUUGUUACAUGAGUUUAUGCUAAAUUAAUUGAAAAAGGAAAAGAAAAAAUAUUUUUAUUUUGUUUUAUAACUGUUGUUGUUUUGAACUGCAG